UGUCAGAUUCCAAUAUUCCCAGCCUACCAGGGAGCAUCUCUAGUCUUUCCCAUCUUCAAAACCUUGAUUUAUAUGGCUGUGACAAUCUUCAUGAGGUUCCUCUGCUUCCCACUAGUUUAGCCACUUUGCGUCUCACUUAUGACUCAAGUAAAUUGAAGUCUUUGGAUAUUUCAAAUCUGACCAAUCUCAAAGAGUUGUACCUUGCCAAUAAUAUGGAGGAGGAGGCAUCUCCCGGCACAGACGGAUAUUUGAUGGUGGAGCCAAUCAGCCUUUUGGGGAUUGGCAAAGUGACAAAAGUUGAGACCUUGAAAUUGUGCCUCCCAGGCUUCACUAAACUACCGGAAAUGGAUGCUCUCAAGCAGCUAAGGAAGCUUGAUCUUCAAUGUCCAGACCUACAACAUCUCCCACGACUACCCAAAAGUUUGAAAAAACUAACCCUCCGGGACUGCAAAUCCUUAAAGACAUUGCCGGAGCUUAAGUAUCUCAUGUCUCUAUCUGGAUUGGAGCUUCUGUUAUGUUCUGUAAUGGAAAUCGAAGGACUUCAACAUCUCUCAUCCUUGGUAGCCUUGCUUAUUUCUCACUGUGAGCUGGUAAAGCUAGACGGCCUCGAAUGCUUGACAUCCCUGAGAACAUUGACCAUCUCAUACUGUGAUUCCCUUCAAGGACUGCCAGAUUUGUCGAACUUGAAGAAGCUGAGAACGUGUCAUAUCCAACAUUGCAAGAACAUAACUCAAAAGGACAGCCUCUAGUAGUCGAGCUCCCUAGAAAGGCCAGAUAUUUGCGAAGGUCGUGGUACGCCUCUGGUCUAAAUGAGGACUUGAAAGAAAUCCAUUUCAUGCUUCCUCGAGCAAGUCUGAAGUUUCUGAGGCCAAUGUUCAUUCUAAAGGUCAUGCGUCUUUUCAAUUUAAUGAUGAUCCAUAAGUUUCACUUGCAUCGUUGGACUUCCUUGUAACUGGAAUGCCUUCUUCUCCGAUAUUUCCAUUUUUCUAUUCACUUCUUUAGAGAAUGCAAUAUUUUUCCUUUAUGAAGUUAUUCUCAACAAUGCCCAGCAAUUGCUUGGUAUACCACUUAACACUUCGACUUCGUUGUACCGUUUUCACAAAUAUGUGAAUGAGUGCAUGAAUCAGCAUUUCUGAAUUCCCUAAUCAUUCGGGUCAUUGCUAUUCUUAAUUUCUUCCAUCUAACUGACUGAUUAUCCUUAGUAAGAUGAUAUGCCCAUUUAUUCAAUAUACAUGGAGUAUUCGCUAGCGGGAGUAUUGUAAUGGAAGAAAUAACCGGAUGUGAUCUCUGUUCAUUUCUUUUGCCCAUCAAUGAUGUAUAGAAUAGUCAUAUCCGAAUGCGAUGCAGAAAGGCCAAAUAUAUGCUCAUACACCUCUGCAUAGACAAUACUGAGGAUUUUUCACCAUGGCAUGCACUUUUUAUGUGGGAAUUAUUUAUGUGAUUACGAGAGGCAGCCGAUAACCUUGAUGAUCUAGAUUAUUAUUAUUUUUUGGUAAAGAUGAUGAUCUAGAUUAUUAUAGGAUGAAAAAUUCAAAAAGAAUGAUGAUUUGAUGUUACUGAACAUCAUCUGGCAUUUGUUUGUUGUUUUCCCCCCUUGAAAAAAUUUCACAUGCUAAGUAGUUUAUCUACUUGAAUGAAUAUCAUUCGACUCAUUUUAGUGUUUUCUGGGUACUCUGAAAUAUCUCUGUGAACUAAUGUCUCGGGCUGAGCAGCCAACUUAGGCUGUGCAGCAGGUAAAAAUGCCCCAUCAUGAAUAACCCGGAUUAUUAUAGCACAUUUCAGGACAGUCCUGCCUUUCACAACCAAAUAAAAUGCAUCUCUUUGUUGCCAGGCCUGAUCAGACUGAAGAUUCAGAACCUGUGAAGAGACCUGCAUACUUACAGGACCCACUUAUUAUAGUUGCCUUCUUGGUUAGUCCGUGGUAGUAAAAACCAGGCUGAGGAAUCUUAUGUCACAUGGGUAGAGGAGCAAGGCGUGACUUCACUCAAUUACAUGUUUCUGAAUCUUCUUUUUUCAACGUAGUCGAUCUUUACUUGCGUCUCUGCAUGAUUCAGGCAUCUGCUUUUGAUAUUUACGUCCUGCUUCGUUGGAUGAUCCGCGCCAAAGAAUGUAACAUCUCUGGAUUUCGUUUUGCUUUUUAGACACAUUCCAUAGAAGUGUUUCCCUUGCAUUUCUUCUGGCUAUUUCUAUGAUUUAUUUUUAGUAAAAAAAACAGAGAAUUUCGACACGUCAACACGUUGUUUCUCAAAAAACAGAGAAUUCCGACAUGUUGGGACACAUUGUAUAUUAAAUAUACAUAUUUAUAUAUACAUAAUAAAUUAUCAUUUUUUUAAUUAUUUCAAUCAAAUUAAUUUGAAUCUAAAAACAUUAAUCCGCUAUUUAUUAGUAUCAUUCAUUAUUUCAAUUUGAUAAAUUCAACUUUAUUUCAAUAAUUUAUAAAACUUGGAGAAAAAACAAGCGAUCUAUAUUAUAAACUUGCAUGUUAGAUAUGUUGAAAGAGGAGAAAAAAAACUUAAGGGGUGAAUUGCGUAUCACGGGAAGUGGAAGUCAAAAGAGAAGAGAAGACUAGGUUUUUCUUCUUUCUCCAUUUAUUAUUUUUAUUAUUGUGUUUUAUUUUUUCACAUAUAUAUAUAUAUAUAUAUAUAUAUUGAUCUCUAAUUUAUUUAAUUUUUUCUAUUAACCUCGAUAUCGAAAUCACAUGUCGGAAACGCAUAUGUUAGAAUUCUGAUUCGAGUAUUGGAGAGUAACAAGAAAGUUGAUAAGGUGUCAGAUUUUACGACACGUGUUGACCGAGUGUCGGAAAGUUUUCGAGAGUGUCGGACACGUGUCGAAAUGUCCGACACGAUAGGAAAACUCUUGGAGAGUGUCAGUGUUUCAUAGACUGGUAUAGCUGUUAAUUGUCACGUAUCAUUUAACUCAGUAAUUUGAUAGGCAAAUUUAACAGAAACUACGUAUCAUUUAACUUAGUAAUUUGAUAAGCAAAUUUAACAGAAACUAACAGAGGGCAAAUUUGUCACAGGUAUAUCGGUUUGGAGUUUUUUUGAAUUAAAAAAUUAGUUUUAGGUAAAUUUCUCACAAGUAUACCAAUUUGAGGCUUUUCACUAUUCUAAUGUUUCUUGUGAUAAAGGUUAUUGAGUUUAAGGAGAGGUGUCAAAGACCUAUUUUUUAAUUCAUUUUUAAUAGAUUUAAUCGCACAUGGGUUAGUUUAAAUUUAAAGAAUUGGUUGGUUGUUAUGGGUUUAGAAUAGCAAAGCCCAACAAGAUAUGGAUUUUAAUGGGAUAAGUAUAUUAGAAAUUCUAAAAUUUGUCAUGAAAGUACAAUUAAGUUAUAGACCUUGUCAUAAGAGUGUAAUUGAAUUCUAAAACUUUCAAAAGUAUAAUUAAUUUCUAAAACUUAUCAAAUUGGUCCAAUCGAGUCAUUCCGUUGAAUUCAUUUUUUUUGAAUGUUUUAGAACUUUAUUGUUCACUAGUAUGACCAGUUUUAUGACUUGAUUACACUUUCAUGACAAGUUUUAGGACUUCAUUAUAUUUUUUUGAAAGUUUUAGGAUUCGAAUACAUUUUUAUGACAAGUUUUGAAACUUAACUGUACUUUUGAAUAUUUCAAAACUCAAUUGUAUUUGCAUGACUAGUUUUAAGACUUUCAUCGUACUUAAUCCAAUUUUAGUGCACCUACAUUAGCAAAUGUUGCGCCAUAUUAGGGGAAAAAAUGCUACAAAUAGAAAGACUAAAAUACAAAGAAAUAAAAACUAGAGAGAGAGGCCCCUUUUACCAUUGUCGCUCGCUGGGGUUGUGCACCCUUGUGGUUGAUGUGGCGGCCCUUGUCACAGCCAAGCAAAGUGUGAUGAGGGCCACCAGCAAGAGUAGGCAAGCAGGCCGUCGCUGGCUACGAAGGGGCAGUGUCCUUUUAUACCAUUGCCUUACCUGUACAGUGCGUCUGUUUCCCUCUCUUUAAACUUUCAAGGAAUCAGUUUUCAUUUUUUCAUCGUUUUCAUUUUUUGCACAUCAGGUUAGAAUAAUAAGUUGAGCAUUCAAAUGAUUGCUCUAAUUUUCAUCGUAUUCAGAGAUCGUUUGUUUAGUUACCUAUCUUUUGUAGGGUUCAAUAUCAUAAUCAAACCCAAACAAAGAGUCAUGCUUAACUAAUAAAGAGUCACGGGACCCCGUUCGUAAAUAAGAGGAAAACGAGGGACCGAAUCCUAAGUUGGAGUUCGCCGACCGGAGGAGGGGCUGCAUAGCAAAUAAGAGGAAUCCGAGGGGACCGAUGGCGGAUUUUCAUCGUCUCUCCCGAUCCCUUCUCCUCCUUCUCCUCGCUGCUUCGUACGCCUACUCCCGUGGUAUGAAACUGGGAGAUGGAUCUUUGAAAUAGAGUGGGAAGAGGGACGAAAACUGAUUUCGUUUGGAAAGAAGAUGGACAUCCAGGAUUCUCGCAACUGUGGAGAAGGUUCCUCCGAAACAAGAGAAGAGAGUUUCGAUGUGUUUUUGAGCUUCAGUGGACGGGAUACUCCCAGUGGCUUUGUGGAUCAUCUCCACCAUAGCCUCCUCCACGCGGAGAUCAGCGUGUUGAGGGAUGAUGGGGAACUCACCGCCGUGGGAGAGGAGAAAGGCCGUCGCUUACCCAAGCGAUCAGGCAUUCUAAGACCGCCAUUCUGAUCCUGUCAGAGAACUAUCUGUCGAGCAUGUCGUGCCACGCAAAGCUGGCUCAGAUCGUGGAGUGCCACAAGUGCCACAAGACGACGGGCCAGAUCAUCAUGCCCGUCUUCUACAGCGUCUCGCCAACGGUCGUUAAAGAAAGGAUCCCCCGAUUACGGAAAGGCUAUCGCCAGGCAUAGACAGGAAGACCCAGACACCCUCCAGGAAUGGAAGAAAGGUCUCAUCCAUUUGGGAUCCAUCUCAGAGUGGGCGAGUAAUCGGUGAGUGAAAUUGAGUAAGUUCGACUGAUUAACCAAGCAUCCAAAUCCCAAGCUAGCGCUUACUUCAAUUUAAGUUAAUCUAAUUAGACUAAUGCUGCUAGGUGUAUCAAUACCUGAUGUAGCACACUCUGAUCUGGUACUGAAUAUGAUCCGCUUGUCUACAUUCUUACUCCCCCGCUUGCCACAUUACUUAAUGUUUCGGUUUUGUUGAUAAAUUUCAGCGUUCUAGCGUUACACGUAUCUCAUAACUCAGUUUUUCCAUGUUGGAUCACUGCAUUAAAUGGAAGGCAGCGGUUAUAGUUUUGAUUUUAUGUCAAUAUGGUCCAGGAGAAUGUUCUUCCUCUUGGAAUCUGCAUCCACAGGAAAUCUAACUCUUGCGAGAAAAUGCCAGUGUAGAGUGAUACCGAUUUGCUUAAUUUCUGUGGAUGCAACUGACAACCUUUGCAUCCCAUCAUAUUGUGCUUUGUCUGUGUUGAUUUAGCAAAAACACGUGCAGCUAAUUGCGUGGCCUGUUUGUUUAAAGCUGAUCGAUGUAUGAUAGUUUUGUAAAGGAAAGAGUGGUCUUUUUCUUGCUAACUACUUCAGAGUUUCGACAUUGUUGGACUUACAUUAAUCUCUAUGCGUGUGACUUGUGCCCCAUGGGCACGCGUGAUACAGCUCUGGCACAAAUGCUUCACUCAUCGAUGAACUUGUCGCAAAUGUGUUGAGGGCGUUGAACAGAUACCUUGUUGACAUCAAGCAUGAUGUGGAAAGAGUUAUGGAAUUACUAGAUGAGGAAUCUAGCAAUGUUCGUGUAGUAGGAAUACAUGGCAUAAGGGGCACCGGGAAGACCACAAUUGCAAAGCUCAUCUGCACAAGAAUGUUUCAUCUCUUUGAUGGCUGGAGCUUUUUAGAAAGCGUUAGAGAAUAUGAAGAAAGACAAGUAGGUUUAAAAAUCAAGUAGGUUUAAAAAUUUUAUGAGGUCAGUUGUUUUCUGACCUUCUGGGUGAAACACAUAGACAAAUCCAUUCUUUUGAAGAGAGGACUGAGCUUCAUAUUACCACCAAAAAAGUACAAGCUUUAGCUGAGCUUGAAGGGUCUCGAAUUCACAAGGUCAUGGGCUUGCAAAAAGGUGAUGCCCUUAAAUUUCCACACCCAUGUCCUCAGGAAGAGGCAUGUUCUAAAUGACUUCCAUACUUUGUCCGAAAAAAUAGUAUCAAGUAUUGACUAGCGUCCUUCGACAAUUGAGGUUGUUUGAUCGUAUCUAUGUUCUAAAACCAAGGACAAGUGGGAGCAGACAUUAAACAAGUUGCAAAAAGUAAACGAAUUGGAAAAAGAACCUUAGCCAUGAGUUCAACAUAAAUUGAAGGUAAUCAUUGAUGCAUUACCUAGGAAGCAAAGAUAAAUAUUUCUGGACAUUGCUUAUUUCUAGAGAGGACGAAAGUGUUGCAUGCUACUUGUGGUCUGACUGUGGUUCUACAAGCGGAUCAAUAUUAAAGGUGCUCAUGGACUUGUCCAUUGUUAAGAUUGAGAAUGGUAAGCUAUGGAUGCACGAUAAACUUCAAGAACUAGGUAGGGAUAUUGCCCUACCUAAAAAUCUUGAACCUGAAAAAGUGCAGUAGACUGUGGAGUCACAAGAGAGCCUGGAAUGUGCCUCAAAAAUGAAAAAGUGAGACACAAAUUUCAUCAUUGUUUUUACCUUACGAUUGGUAUGCCUUACAACUCAUGUUUCCUCUUUUGAUAGAGGGAAAAAUACUUAUGGUGUAUAUGUUUCCACAAAAAAUAAAAAAUUUGAAAAAUAUUUUUCUGAAAAUGAUCAUUUACAUUUUUCGAAAUAAUUAGUCAAUGAAAUUUUUUCAUUGUUGAUAUCAAUUUAUAUAUAUAUAUAUAUAUAUAUAUAUAUAUAUAUAUAUAUAUUCAUAAAUAAUAAAAAUAUUUAUUGUUCAUUUGUUUUUGUGAGAGAUGAAAGCAAGCAUUUUCAAGGAAUUUUUUUCAAAACAUUUUUUUUUUGGUGAAAUAAAUUGAUCCUUAAUAAAAUGAUUUCUUUAGUUUGAAAUCCCUUGGUAACCCAAAUCCUAUAUUCCACGUGCAAGGAACAUAAAUACUUAAGGGAGUUGUUCUAGAAUUUGGUUGUCGGUCACAUCACAGCUUUGGACCAGCACAUUUUGCGGGGACGUCGAGCAUAAGAUUCCAAGCGGACCUCAUUGGAAAUUUUAAGGGGCGUCUGUCAAGUUUAAGAUGGCUCCAUUGGCAAGGUUGUCCUUGGAAUCUUCAUGCUAAUAAUUUGGAUUCGGAGGAGUUGGUUAUUCUAGAUCUUUCUCGGAGCAUGGUCCUUGAAAAAUGGAAUGGUUGGAUUCAAAUCUAGGUAGAGAAGUAUAUUAUUUUUAAUUUCAUUUGUCAAAUUGUUGCGGAAAAGUUAACUAUUUUCUUAUUUUACUUUAUGACAGAAAGCCAAGAAAUUGAAAGUUUUGAACCUCAUCGGUUGUGUUCACUUGAUCAAAAAUCCAGACUUAACUCAUUUCAAAUGUUUAGAGAGAUUGAUUCUUGAAAGAUGCAUGUGGUUGGAUUAAAUUGGUCAAUCGGUAAAAAGUAUGCGAUGCUUGGUUUCACUGAACUUAAGGUUUUGCACUGAACUCAAAAAGUUGCCCCAUGAGCUAGGUUCCCUCACAUCCUUGGAAUAUAUUCUUAUGGAUGAAACUGCCGUUCAAGAUAAUCCUACCUCCAUCGGUGAUUUGCAAAAGCUUAAAAGAUUCAGUGCUUGCAACUAUCUUUCAUUAACCCAGCUGCCCAAAUCAAUUAGCCAUGUAGAAUCUCUAGAAGUCCUCGCACUGAAUGGUACAGAAUUAACUAAACUUCCUCCAUCUGAAGAGUUAGGAGUGCUGCAAUACUUGUCAAUAAGUAAUUAUAAAUCGAUAUUGAGCUUGCCAACGUCCAUGGGGACUUUGGCUUUAUUGAGUGAACUAGACCUAUCAAGCACUUGGAUUAAUGAAUUAUCUGAUACUGUCAAUGAGUCAAGUCUUUUAAGAGUGCUCAAAAUUGAUUUUACUUUUGUAAGAAAGCUGCCUCCCGCUUUAUGGAAAUUGAAGAGGCUUGAAGAGCUUCACGCUUCAGGAUGUCGGAGUUUGGAGGGGAAAAUUCCUAGGCAAAUUAAGAUACUUUCCGCAUUAAGGGUCUUGAAACUUGGAUAAUCUCGGAUUUAUGGUCUACCAGAUAGUAUUUAUGGACUUCCCAAUUUCCAAACAUUUGAUCUGCUUCAUUGUGACUAGCUCUGUGAAGUGUCCGAACUUCCUUCCAGUUUAAUAAGUCUAUCUGUCAGUUCUAAAUUGAUGGACAGGAUCCCAGAUAUCAGUAAUCUGGUUAAGUUGGGGGAGUUAUUCUUGGUUAAAGAUCCAAGAACCAAUGUUACCAGUUCAAGAUAGAAUUGAGGAAAAAGAAUUCACUUUGCAGCUUGGAAGUUUGUUAGAGCUGAAGAUAUUGUAGUUAUCUGCAUUAAAGAUCCAACUACUAGCUAUUGGUUGCAUUACCUUUAUAAGCUCAGGAAGCUCUCCCUUUACUGCAUUCACUUAAAAAAGCUACCACGGUUUCCUCCAGAUUUAUUCAGUCUAUCACUUUGCCAUUACAAAUCGCAGACAAUGCUAGAUCUUUCGUAUUUGGUGCUCCUGUCAGAAUUCGAGCUUUUCGACUAUGCAGUAAUAGAAAUUCAGGCCUUGGGAAGUUCAAAUCCUUGCGAGUUUUCAGAAUAUCUCACUGUGAUCUGCGGCAAGUGGAUGAACUGGAGAAUUUGAUCUUUAUAGCAUCAUUAAAUGUUUCAUACUGUCAAAGUCUUGAGAGACUUCCCGAUCUAUUAAAACUAACGAUGUUGAAAAACAUUAAAAUCGAGGGCUGUCUGAUGAUUCCCAUGAUUCCCUAUCUAUUAAAAUUGAUGAGCUAGAGAAUUUGAUCUUUAGACACGUAAUGCGAUAAGCGAGAUUUGCCUGCCAUCACUGUCUCGAUUUUAAUGUCUUUCAGCAUCGUCAAUUUUAAUAGAUCGGGAAGUCUCUCAAGACUCAAGACUUUGAUAGCAUGAAACAUUUAAUGAUGCUAAAAAGAUCAGAUUCUCCAGCUCAUCCACCUGCUGCAGAUCGCAGUAAGAUACUCUGAAAACUCGCAAUGAUUUGAAACUUCCCGAGGCCUAGAACUUCUAUUACUACACAGUUGAAAAGCUCGAAUUCUGACAAGAGCACCAAAUACGAAAGAUUUGGCAUUGUCUGCGAUUUGUAAUGGCGAAAUGAUAGAGUGAAUAAACCUGAAGGAAGUCAUGGUAGCUUUUUUAAAUGAAUGCAGCAAAGAGAGAGCUUCUUGAGCUUAUAAAGAUAGUGCAAACCUUCUUGAGCUUAUAAAGGUAAUGCAAACCAACAUAUAGUAGUUGGAUCUUUAACGCAGAUAACUGCAAUAUCUUCAGGUCUGACAAAUUCCCAAGCUGCAAAGUGCAUUAUUUCUCCUCAAUUUUAUCUUGAACUGGUAACACCGGUUCCUGGGAUCCUUCACUCAAGAAUAACUCCCCCAACUUAACCAGACUACUGAUGUCUGGGAUCAUGUCCAUCAAUUUAGAACUGACAGAUAGGCUUAUUAAACUAGAAGGAAGUUCGGACACUUCACGAAACUGGUCACAAUGAAGCAGAUCAAGUGUUUGGAGAUUGGGAAGUCCAUAAUUGCUAUCUAGUAAACCACAAAUCCGAAAGUAUCCAAGUUUUAAGACUCUUAAUGCGGAAAGCAUCUUAAUUUGUCUAAGAAUUUUUCCCUCCAAUAUUCUGAAACGUGAAGCUCUUCAAGCCUCUUCAAUUUUCAUGUAGUGGGAGGCAGCUUUCUCACAAAAGUAGAAUCAAUUUUGAGCACUCUUAAAAGACUUGACUCAUUGACAGUAUCAGGUAAUUCAUUAAUUCUGAUGUUUGAUAGGUCUAGUUCACCCAACGAAGCCAAAGUCCCCAUAGACAUUGGCGAGCUCAAUAUUGACCUAUAAUUACUUAUUGACAAGUAUUGCAGCACUCCUAACUCUUCAAACAAGGGAAGCUUAAUUAUUUCUCUAUCAUUCAGUGCGAGGACUUCUAGAGAUUCUACAUGGCUAAUUGAUUCAGGCAGCUGGGUCAAUGAAAUACAGUAAGCACUAAAUCCUUUAAACUUUUGUAAAUCACCGAUGAAGGCAGGAAUCUCUUAAACGACGGUUUCAUCUAUAAGAAAAAGAUUUAACUUUUUAAUGCUUUUUGAGUUUUCGAAAAUCUUUUUGAAUUUUUGUUAUUUUUCGAAAUUUUUUAAUUUUCUUUUUUUUUGGAAGUUUUUUGAAUUUUUAAUAUAUUGUUAAUAUUUAAUAUUAUUAUACCUCAAGAAAAUGGGUUUGGACCAGGUAAACCCAAUCCAGCCCGCUGACGCAGCCCAAACGCGGAUCCGACCCAAUAGGAUAAAAAGACAUUUUUUCAUAUUAUUAUUUUUAAAAAAAUUAAUAUCUUUUUUUUUAACUUUUGUCUUCUUCCCUAUUUCGUCUUCUUCUACUGCACUUUCUCUUCUGCCGUUCCUCCUUCCCGAAGCAACUUUUGCUUGCUUUUUCUUCUUUACUUUAAAAAAAAAAAAAAAAACUUUUGGCUGCACUCUUUUUCUUGCUUUUUCUUUUGUUUUUGUUUUUACUCUUCUUUGGUCUUCUUCCUCGCGCGAUCUCCUUCACCGAGCUCCAGCCUUCCGAAGAUCCCAUUUUUUAAGACAAACCUCGACCAAAGCUCAAGCCACCGCCGAGCCACUACCCUUCACCGGUCGUACACCCCGACCACCACUCGUCGACCGACCUCCCCGUCGAUUUUCUUUUGUCAUCGGACGGCCAUUGUCGGCCACAAAGCAUGAAACACAACACAAUGUAAAUGAUGACGGGGGCGGUGGCAGCGAAACGACCGAACGACCAACGCCGGGGAAUGCUAAUCACAAAAACGACAUCUCAACAGAACAAAUCAACCUGUGGACAUUCAGUUUUGGCCAAAACGGGCAAAAGCAAAACUAGAUCUCGGUGAAGCAUUUCAUCGAGCGAGUGGCGUGCGACCUCGAGCGAAGGGUUUCCGACUCAACCAGGACUCAAAACGAGGCCGGGAUUCUCAGCAAACAUCCAACAACACCCAGUGACUUAGCUAAAGACCUACAGGGGCCGGAGUUCGUGUGAGCCGAAUGGCCACGAACCCCAGCCCGGCGUACCCAAGAGGGGCAGCAAACAAAUGUAAAGACGGAAGCUUACUAGUUCGGGCUUGAGAACUUCUACCAGGAGGGGUCGUUGGGCGGAGCUCGCGUGUGGCCAAGUGGUCAGCCGAGGCUCCCUCUCGUUCUUCGUUCACUCUCGGCUUUCACUGUCUCGACUCCUCUCCUCUCUCGCGGCUCUGGUUGUCUUCGGCUGGUUCGGCGUCGGGAGCAGCGGCGGCGAGUGCUGUAGGUCGGCGCUUGGAGGGCAGCGGCGGCUCGGACGGCAGUAGGGCAGCGUCGACGACACCUUUUCCCCCUUCUCGGUUCUAUUCCUCCGCUUUUUCUUUGUGCUUGGUCUCCCUUUUUGUUCCCCCUUUUUCUGGUCUGCUCGGGUUCUCUGUUUUAUGCUUCUGUUUUCCCUUUUGCAGGUCGUCGUCCUGCCGUGCCAGUUCUCUUUCCUUUCCAUCUUCAGCUCAAAUUGUCCUCGGUCAGUCCAGCCUCCCUGCCUCUAUAUAUGCCUGCACCCGGUUUUCUCCUCAGGACGGAGUUCGGUCUGUUUUCAGCUAUAACGGCUACAGGUUUUCUUGGGCUCCGUCAACUGCAGGCGCUGCCCCGCCGCAGCCAAGCUUUCUUUGCUUCCCUUCUUCUGCUGUCUUCUGCCGCUCCCUCUGUUCUGUUUCUUUCUUUUUUUGCAGGUCUUCGAAGACCGACACAGAGGGAGGAAGACCCUCACUCGCGGGCUGAAAGGGAAAAAGGGGCUGGGCCGGGCCGGGCCCAGCGCGGGGGGAAGAGAAAAAGAAAAGGAGCCGAUAUCGAUUGAUAAUUUUUUACUUUUUUUUUUCCGAAUCUUUUAAAAGAAAAAUUAAUUAUAUUUUUUUUUGAUAAAUUUUAAAACCAGUGACACAAAUACUCUUAAUGUCUAUAUGUGAUGCAAUUUUGAUAAAAAAAAUUUGUUAAGGAGCUGGAAAUUAAUCCCUAAUUUUCUAAUGCAAUUAAUAAACACUUAAAUAAAUUGCCAAAAUUUAGGUGUCAACAUGUACUUUUGGCAUCCUUACUAGGUCUUAGUGUGUUAGAGAAACUCCUUAAUUUCCAAAAGGAUAUGGCUUAUGUAUCCAAUGCCUUUGAGUGGCCAGGAUACUAUUUGGUUCUAGAUACAUUCUUGAUUGAAGUCGUGAUGUCUUCUUUAUAUUAUGAUACGGGGAUAUGGUAAAAGGACUCAGCCAAUUGCAUAGCUUGGGAAUAAUCCAUCGGGACUUAAAAGCCUACAUACGUAUUGAUUACUAAGAAUCCAUUUCGUGCUAAGCUAUCUGAUAUGGGCAUGAGCAGAUGCCUUCCUAAGUAUAGAUCUUCCUUGAGAUAUCAUGCCACUAGUAAGUGCUCAUGAUAGCUUUAUUCAGACCCUUGAUCUUCUUUUCUUCAAUAUUGAUCCGUGCAUAAUCUGAAUCUAUACAGUGGUAAAUCAUCUUCGGAUUCCUGGCUAAAAAUAUUAGACCUAUAAUUUUACUUUGUUAGAACAAUUUCUUCUUUUAAAGAAGACUGUUAUGCUGGAAGUUAGGUUGCUUUGUAUUGCUUCUUAUGUCGUGGUAAAGCUUGUGGAGAUUUAAUAGUCUUUGCCAUGGUCUCCCUUCAUUGAUUGGUGAAUCUAUCAUAUCCAUCUAUAUUUUGUCCAAGUGAUGAGGGCUCUUUUAUUGAUCUUCGUUGUCUGUCUUGCAGGUUGUGGAACCAAAGGAUAUCAAGCACCUGAAGUGUCUCGUGAUGGUGGGCGCCAAACACAGGUAAUGGAUUUGUUUAGUUUAGGGUGUGUCUUGUUCUUUUGCGUCACUUGUGGAAAACAUCUAUUUGGUGACAACAUUGCUUUCAACAAUCCAAACCUAUCCUUGGUGAAAGAUAUGCCAGAAGCUCACGAUUUGAUUUCACGUUUGCUAAGCCAAGAUCCCGAAUCGAGGUGAGUGUAUAUUGUCAUUGUUAUUUUGCAUCACUACGUUUUCCAUUCUGCCAUUUUAUAGAUUUUACAACCAUUGUUAGUUGACCGAUUUCCACUUUCCUGCAUCACUUAAUCUCAUGAGCAUUAAAGGCGCCCUGAAACUCAUCAACCAUGGCUUAAAUAUCUUUCUUGCUGUGGGGUUCUACUUGAUGAGCAAAAAAUGUGUAGAUCCCACUUAUUUCUUUUGGAAAUUGACAAUAGAAGCCGAAGAAAAGGUUGACCAUGUGAUAACCUAAAUGCCUUUGACAAUUGUGAUAUUCCAACGUUAGAUGAUCAUUGUUGGAAGCCUAGUUAUUAGGGGUAUAAAUUUGUUACCCACCCACGAACAAAUAAAUUCCAAUCAUUCCUAGUGUAAUAUUAGAUUUGCUAUACGUGCACUGAAGAGGAUUUCGUGUGAAGAUUCUAGGGGUUUUAGCAUAUGGCGCUCACUAUGAAAUAAGAAUCCUAGGGACAGGAUGAUUAGAUUUCUAAUUUAAAAUACUCGGAGUAAAUAAUUCCUAGGUUCUUAUUGUAGUCAAAUAACUACUGCCUUCAUCCCGGAUUCGUGAAUUGUGAAUUUCAUGGAAGUUUUCAGACAUUUUGGUUACUCUUUCAUUGAGCUAAUGCAAUUUUAAUUAUUUUAAAGAUUGCAUGAAUGCCAAACUUGCGAUGCUUUUAAAGUCAAGAAGUCGGUCUAUUUCAGUAUUGUUUUUUUUUUUUUUUCAUUCACUGCUUCGCGGCGGAAUAAACUCUAGGGAUAGGUAGAGUCACCACCACCCUUGCCUACCGGGUAAGUCGCUUGACGACGCUGAGAAUCGAACGCUGGACCUCUCAUGAAAGGAACCAGUGCCCAACCAACAAUGCUGCCACCAUCGAGUGGUGUCUAUUUCAAUAUUAUUCAUGUAAUUGAUUUCUUUGAAAUGUUGGGUCAAUAAUAAAUUACUUUUUAUGACUAGCAGGUUAAAGGCAUCGGAAGUGCUUCACCAUCCAUUUUUUUGGAGUUCAUAUAUAAGACUGAAAUUUCUUCAUGACGUCAACAUCAAAGUAAAAGCGGAAGCUAAGAAAGCCAAAUCGGUUCCUCUUAAAGCAUCAGGGUCGUCACUCAUAAAGUGGAAUUGAAAGCUGAAGCUGGGAAAGGCAAUUCAGAUCUUCCCAAAAAAUUGGAGAACAUUGCGCAAUUGGUUUUUGAUGAGGAUUGGAUUAAGAAAAUAGAUGAAGAUGUUAUGAGGAUUGGAUUAAGAAAAUAGAUGAAGAUGUUAUGAAUGACCUACGUCUACACAGACGUAAGCUUUAUGAUGGAAGUAGUGUCAGAGACUUAUUAAGAGUCGUGCGAAAUAAGUUCAAUCACCUCGUGGGUACUUCAAAACAUGUUGAGGUACUGUCUCGCUCUCUCUCUCUCGAAUAGUGGUGAUAUUUACAGCCGCAUGCGUACAAUGCUCAUAUCUUUUAUUGCUUUGAUGAUUCUGAUAGGCGAUCCUCGGAUCAGAUUCUAGUGAUUUUGAGGCUUACUUCACCAAACGAUUCCCCAGACUCUUGAUUGAGUCAUACAAAGCGGUGUCCCAAAGCCUCGAAGGGAAGAAAUUGCUUGCGGAAGUGCUUUCUUUGCUUCCUAAGUAACGUGCUUUUGACCCUUUGGCCACUUCCCGCGGUGAUUCCUUCUUCAAGGCAACAGGGUUGGCCAUGAAUAUUACUGGACAUUCCACUUGUCUUUUCUGUUGUGUCUGCUGUCUUGGUUACGUGGAUGAAGCUAGAUGGGGCGUCAGACUCUAUUCAUAUUGUCCCUAAUAUCAAAUCUUAAAUAAUUUUAUAGUAUAGUAUUGCCGCAUACUUGAAAUGUUUGAUGCAUUGUUCUUGAUAUUGCAUAAACAAAUAUUGUAUUUCAAUUUCAUGCAAUUUUUUUCAAUAACGUAAUUUUUAAAUUUAAAUCUUGUACUUUUUUUUUUCAAAAGUUAUAUUUUUAGAGUUAAAAAAAAAACAAAAAACAAAAGGCCCAGGCCCACGCUUGGACCAAUGCAGCCCAGGGGUCAGCCCUGGUAGACACUUUUCAUCAACAAAAGGUACCGUUACCUCCUUAAUAGUUUAGCAACUUCUUCGCCUGCUAGUAAUUUUUUCCAUAUGCAACCUAAAUGUCUAAAGAAAAAUAUUUAGGUCAAGUAAAUCUCAAUGGAGUGGGUAACAUUCUCAGUUAUGAAAGAAAUGUAACUCAACUCGCUAGUUUUUACCUAUGAAAUAAGCAUCACCCUACUAUUUUGAAGUAUUUACACACUCUCUCAUUGGAGGGAAUUAAAAGUUGAAUCUACAUGUAAUUAAAAUAUUAAAAAAUAACAUUUAUGUAUUUCAAAAUCUCAAAAAGAAAUCAAUGGCAAUAAAAUGCAUUAACAGUUGUAAACCUCACAAAAAGUGGACGAAAAAUCUUAUCUAUCGUCUACAUACUCCAUGCUUUCUCUAGACAAAUUUAUGUACACUUAGUUUGUCCAAUCAAGUAGCUCUAGUUUCACAAAUUUUUAGAUCAAGUCUAUAUGACACAAAAUAAAACUAAAUUUGGGAGAUGUGGCAUCAAAUGACCCCAAAGUAUGAUGUGAAAAAAUAUAUAGAUGCACACAUGGAUGCGUGUGUGUGGAAAAAUAGCCAAUAUAGAUAGUAUUGAAGUAUGACUCAUUACCCAUUUUUGACGCUCAUGUGGAUGACUACAUUGGAAAAUUUUUAAUCACAUCGUACUCAUUACGAUAUCACUUGAUGGUCAUGUUAGCUAGAUUCAACCAAAUUUGAUGUCAAAAGGAUUUGAUUAAAAAAAUUGUGAAAAAAGUAAGAUGACCUCAUUAGACAAAUUAAAAAUAUAAGAACUUGAUUAGAAAACAAAGUAAAAAUAAAAGUAAAAGUAUAGAGACGAUAAGUAAAUUUUUUUGUAAUAUAAUUGGCUCUUGCGUCUGUCUCUCUCUCACAGAUUGCUUCAGAUGUUUCAAGUAUAUAUAUAUUAAAAUUAAAAAUAUAAGAACUUGAUUAGAAAACAAAGCAAAAAUAAAAGUAAAAGUAUAGAGACGAGACGAAAAGUAUUUUUUUUUUUUUUUGUAAAAUAAUUCUCUCUCUCUGUCUAUCUCUCUCUCUCUCUCUCUCAGAUUACUUUAGAUGUUGCAAGUAUAUUAUUUUAUCUAUUUUAUUCUAACUACAUAUAAUGGGUGAGAAUAUCUUGAGUCCAGGAAAAGGGUUAAAGACAUGAAUAAUAUUAUCAUCAAACAAUUCACACUUUCGAUACUAUGGCUCCAACAUUAUUUGCAACCAACCCAUCCAAAACAAUCAUCAAUGAUUAAGUCACUUUUGAAAUUAUUAAGUGUGAGAAGCUCUAAUAUAGUUCAAAACAAAAAAUUCUAAUAUAUGAUGACAGUCACUAACAGCUUAUCAUUCCCAACGAUUUAAAAAGCUUUCUUACAUUUUAUUUUUUGACCCUAGUCAUCAUGUAAUAGUGAUUAUAGAGCAUGGUAAAUUUAUUUUCCAAUAAUUUCUGAUCAUAUUUACCAAGCAAAGCUUAGCGAGCUUCCAAAACUGGACUCAAUUUUCUAAAACCAGCGUCAAACAUAAAAGUUGAAGUUCCUCAGUACAAAUUUUCACGAGGCCAUGCUGUUCAACUACCCUGAUUCAUCACGUUUCAGUUAACAAUUGGUUUCACUUUUAUGCACACAGGCUAUAUAGACCUUACAUAUUGUAAGAUCUACUUGAUUAAAUUCUUACAUAUAUCUUUCGUAUGGUGAGAGUUGUGUCAUCGAUUAAAUUUCAUAUAAUUUGUUUGCACACCUUGUGACGUUAUUGAGUUCAUAAUUUUCAAGCCCUGUCGUCGAUUUAAUUCCGACUUGAUUUGAGAUUGUACAAUAUUUUUUGGAUCGAAGAAGUUGAUUUUUGUUUGUUUGUAAUAUUUUCUAUACAAAAUUAGCACAGAACCUUAAUUUCCUCACAUUAUAAUUGAAGAACAACCUUUGAUGAAAGAUAUUUCAUUUUGGAAAAUUCCGACCAAACAUCUUUUCGGCAUACACGGUAGAAUCAGUGUUGAUGAUAUGAGGAAAUAAACCAACACGUCGUACAGGGAGUCAACUCGAUACCAUUUAUACUGGUGGGAAUAAUUCACCACCACAGCCCGCUGACGAAAGGGUUGGACGCGCUGAGUUGUCGACGGCAUCUCCAGCUUGAUGCCUCGGACUAUUCUGGCGCCUAAUUCCAUACAGGCCGAAUGUUGUCAUCGACAAUCUAAGGAGACCACCCACCCCACCUAGGGGCAGGAAUACAACAUCCACUUCAAUCACAAGUGCCACAACAAUAACUCCCGUCACAACCCUAUCUUGGACCAUAACCCGUUGUAGCACCUGCUGUGAUAAUACCUGCGCAAAAUCAACAAAAUGCCCAGUGGAUGUAUGACUAGGCGAUACGGCAAUAUGGGCAUGAAGACGCACGAUAUGUUAGACCUGUUUAGAGAAAACCUUUUCUACAUUGGAUCAACAUAAUACCUUAUCCAAGCAGCUUCAAAAUAACACGGUUCACCCCUUUUUCCUAGCAAGGUUGACCAGUCGACAUUGGAACAUAUCGGUCGAUGUACUGUGCAAUGUGAUGAUGCAGCAUAUGCUGAUUACUGGAAGUUGAGGUUGUUACCUGUCAUUAUCCAUGACUGCAUUUACUCGAUAUGUGGCAUUGCCACCAAUUUCCGUCUAUUCAUGGGAAUAAAUGGAAAGAUUAUUUCAUGAACAAUUCCAGAGAUCCAUCCUUGAUGUGUCUAUGAAGCAGUAAAAUGAUGAGUUGAUAGAUCAGUUCAUAUUUCGGUUCAAAAAGGCAAGGAAUCGAUGCCUUCUGCCUUUACUGGAAAAAUCCCUUGUGGAUGUAGCUCUGGCAGGUUUGAAGUUUUCUAUCAGAGAAAAGAUGGUAGGACGAUAAAUUAAUGAUCUNNNNNNNNNNNNNNNNNNNNNNNNNNNNNNNNNNNNNNNNNNNNNNNNNNNNNNNNNNNNNNNNNNNNNNNNNNNNNNNNNNNNNNNNNNNNNNNNNNNNNNNNNNNNNNNNNNNNNNNNNNNNNNNNNNNNNNNNNNNNNNNNNNNNNNNNNNNNNNNNNNNNNNNNNNNNNNNNNNNNNNNNNNNNNNNNNNNNNNNNNNNNNNNNNNNNNNNNNNNNNNNNNNNNNNNNNNNNNNNNNNNNNNNNNNNNNNNNNNNNNNNNNNNNNNNNNNNNNNNNNNNNNNNNNNNNNNNNNNNNNNNNNNNNNNNNNNNNNNNNNNNNNNNNNNNNNNNNNNNNNNNNNNNNNNNNNNNNNNNNNNNNNNNNNNNNNNNNNNNNNNNNNNNNNNNNNNNNNNNNNNNNNNNNNNNNNNNNNNNNNNNNNNNNNNNNNNNNNNNNNNNNNNNNNNNNNNNNNNNNNNNNNNNNNNNNNNNNNNNNNNNNNNNNNNNNNNNNNNNNNNNNNNNNNNNNNNNNNNNNNNNNNNNNNNNNNNNNNNNNNNNNNNNNNNNNNNNNNNNNNNNNNNNNNNNNNNNNNNNNNNNNNNNNNNNNNNNNNNNNNNNNNNGUUGCUUUGACAUUAGAAAUUCAAAAUCUGUUUUAGGAAAUACAUGGUUGGAUAUAUAAUUAUACAUGCAAUUUUGCAUGACUAAGUCCAAUAAUCUCUUUUGUGAUGCUAAGGUUAAACUCUAGUUAAUUUAAUUUCCUAUUUAAACUGGAUAUUAUUCCGAAUUAAAAGAAUGGAAAAUGUUUUAUUAAAAUAUAUAAUUUAUGAUGCAAUCUUAUUGACACCCACCAUCCUGCUAAUAAACUUAUAUUUUCUCAACAGUUUGCACAUAUGUUAAUACAACACCAUGCUAUAUGGGGUUGUGUUUAUAACUGUAAAAGUUUUUAUGUUGUUAGUUGCAUUAAUUAAUAUUAUAAUUAAUAUUUUUAUGGGAUUAAUCUAAUAAUGUGAUAUAUAAGCAUUCUAAGUUGGUCUAAUAUGGGAGUGGUUAGUAUGAACCGAAUAAAACUCGACUUGUAAUGAGAGGGCAUUUUAUUUAAAACUCUAUAAGGAGUGUUUACUAAAUGCUGAGAGUGAGAAGCAGUCUCAUUGAGCCAAUGAUAUAAAAGACAAUAGCGAAGAAGCACUUAAGCUUUAGAUCAUUAUUGUUGCAUCAAAAACGAUGGAUUCCAAAUCGAAUGCAUAAAUUUCUUUUACUUGAUUAUAUGUAUUCUUGAUUCUAUCUACGGAGAUCUUCAAUACCAUUUUCAUGGCUUACAUUCUUAUCCUUUUAACAUUUUGAGUAAAUUAUAAUUCUUUAAAGAUUAUUCUAUAAACUUAUUAAGCUUAUUGGUGAUUCUCUUGCUAAUUAUAAUGGUACCAAAUAUUUCUCUAUAAACUUUAUUAUAUUUUCUUGAAAAUUGCUCUAAUUGUGAUAUCGUUCUUUUGGAACUUGGAAAUUGUUUUACUUUCUGUUUUGAAAUGAAAAUUUCUUGUCUUUUCUCAUACUUUUUCACCAUCAUAUGUUUGAAAGAAUUUAAAAGGGCUGAUUUGAAUCUGCAUAAUAUCUACUACGUAUGAAAAUAUAAUGUGUUUUCAACAUAUUUUUAUCUAUUCUUACUAUCAUAUAGAUCUCAUGAUCAUGAGCCACAACAUGUCAAGCCACUUUAAGUUUUGUCGCUCAAUUUAUUGUUGUCUAUUUUAUAUCAUAAAUAAUUGUACUCUAAAAUUAAUUAGUAAAUAGUGUCUUUCGGUCAAAAGUUGCAAUCAUUAAGUUAGUAGCAUGUUAAUUCAUAUUAAAGUUACAUCUAUUUAUAGUACAUUUAUAAUACAUGACUAUUCGUGUGGCUUCCAUAGAUUAACUCAUUUGUCCAUUUUAGCUCAUUUCAUACUGAGCUUCACUGUCUUGUCCUUUGAUGUACAGGCGGACACCUUUUCAAGAGAUCAUUCAUGUUGGUAGUGCUCCCAUUUGAGCGCACUUAAUUAUGGAGUUUGAAAACUAAGUAUUGUCAUUACCUCAAAAUGCGCCUCCAUGAAUUAAUUUAAGUUUUGACAUAUUUAUUCUAGAGUAUCUCUUCGCCUAUUUGGUGCAUAGUUCAGUUUAUUCUUGCUCUCUUCACUAUUUUAGAAACCUACUAGAAGCCACUCCUUGUCCACGCCCUCUGGCUCCAACAACCACUCCUUGCUCUCAUCGAAUCUAAUUGUUAUAGGCCUACCAACUUCCAUGUAAUUCAUUUAUGAACCACAUACCUACUAAAGGGGGUCCUACUCCAAUACCGUAUUGUGACAUUAUUGGAUUAACUCACUAAGAUAUUAUUCGCUUUGACUCGUCCCAUAACUAAGCCUUAUAGUUUUGCCUUUUGGCAUACAGGUGGAUAGUGCUCCCACCUAAGCAUGCUUAACUUUAGAGUUCUAAAGCUAAAACGCUACUAUAUGACUUCGUGAAUUAAUUCCAACUUUUACAUAUAUAUAUUACAAAAUCACUGUCUACUUAUUCGGUGCACAAUUCGAUCCAUUUUUACCUCCUUCACCAUGUUAGAAGCUCUUUGACCUUCACAACCACUCCCCAUCUUACAAUUCGUACAAAUAAUGUGUCUUUCCAUCUACUUUUAAAGGAUUAAGUGUGAGAAAAUAUUUCAUAUUUGUUAUUUGUUAACUAGGAAAAAAAAAAGCAUAAAUCCUUAAAAGGCACGUCUUUUCUCGUUAUAAUUCAUCAAUACUUCGGCUGCACAUAAAAGGAAAAAGAGAAACGUGGAGAUUCACGUGAAACCUUUUUUGGUAGUCACUUAUUUGACCAAAAAGACUUACUAAACGCCAAAAACUUUUUUUUUCCUUACACCAGGCAGAUCACUCGAGAAUUUUUGACAAGAUCAUGCUUCAAGCUAAACAUAAUCAUCAAGAUCCAAGUAAGAUUCACCAACCGACUUAAACAUGGCUACUUUGAAACGAAAAGUUAAAUCUCAUUCUGUCAAAGAGAAAGCGGCCCUCAUGCAUUAAACUGGUCACUGCAAAAAUCUACGACCCUGACUGCUAGCGACAUCGGUUUCUGUCGUCCUAUAGACUAAUAAAAGUUUAAUAGGCUUCUUCGUCAUCAUAAUCCUUAAGACCACUUUCCAUUUCUCACGAUAUGAUCUCCUCUGCUUCGAAUGAAAAGCCCUUCAGAAUGUGUAAUGCUGCUGAAUGGAAUCGAUGUCCAGGCCUUUGAGCUUGACCACGGAUUCAACAUGGCCCUUCAGAGUGUGUAGCUCGCGAAGCCUGCAACAACAGAUUCACUUUGUCUUACCAUCACAUGUAGGACUUAAACAGUGAAAAGGAAUUGCUAGCAGCGAAUGGUUUAAACUCUGUUUCGAGAGAGUAAGGCGCCUAAACUCAGUUAAAUACAGCACGGCCUUUGAACUUCAGUUAUUAGGCAAGCAAACAGGUACGGAAGCGAAGAAGGUGAAACUAUGUUUUUUUUUUUGGUGAAAAGAAGGUGGAACUAUGUUUUUCAGUAAAUAACACCAUUUUCUUACGAGCGUUGAAGUAUGAAAAUCCAGGUGCUCACCUCGCAACCUCAGCUCGUCGCUUGGCUUGCUCUGCAAUCUCUGAAAGCUCCCUAUAGCUACUCUUGUUAGAAAAUAGGUUGCUGGUUUUAGGAGGCCAAAGGCCGUGCAGAGUCCUCUUGCAUGUUAAACUUAUGACUCGAAUUUGAGAUUCACUGGACUCGCGACGGAUUUACUAGAGAGGAAAUAAAGUUGAAAAAGGAAUUUGGCCGUGGGCCCAAGUGGGCACACGUAUAAGAAGCGAAUUUCCUCAUGGAGUCUGCACGUGAAGAGAAAGUUGGUGGCACUAAAUAGGACACAUAUAGCCCUAAUUCCCAAGAUACCUCAUUCAGAACGAAUUGACCAAUAUCACCCUAUUAGCCUUUGCAACUUCUCAUAUAAAAUAAUAUCGAAGGUUUUGGCAAAUAGACUUAAACGUUGGCUGCCUAUGCUGAUUUCAGGGGGACAAAGUGCUUUUGUUAGUGGGAGACAAAUUCAAGACAACAUUUAUAUUGUGUAGGAGGUGCUUCAUCAAUUGAGGAUGAGAAAACAGAAGAAACAUUUUCAAGCUAUGCUGAAGUUAGACAUGCAAAAGGCCUACGAUCACAUUGAAUGGGAUUUCCUGGAAGGAUGCUUGUUGAAAAUGGGUUUUUGUGCAAAAUGGGUCAAUUGGAUAAUGCAAUGUGUCAUUACAGUUACCUUCAGCAUCAAAUUGAAUGGUGAACCUCUUCCUUUUUUCAACCCUACCGGAGGUAUAAGGCAAUGGGACCCCUUAUCACCCUAUCUCUUCAUUUUGAUGGAAAAUAGUUUAUCUUCUUUGAUGGGAAAAGCUCUUCAGGAUGGAAGUAUAAAGGGGAUUAGGCUGAAUCGAUUAUGUCCUACUUUGACUCACCUUUUAUUUGCAUAUGAUUCUAUAUUCUUUUUGAAUGGAUCCAUAAAGGAAUGUCAAAAUGUUGCGUCAAUUCUAAACCAGUAUUGUUAUGCAUCGGGACAAGCUGUAAUCCUGAACAAGUCUGGUAUUUUCUUUAGUAGAGACUGUCCCCAACUAUUAAGGGAUAACAUGAAAAGGGAGUUGAGGGUUCCUAAGCUUGAUCGGACUGGCAAAUACCUUGGGAUCCCUUAUGAUAGGGGAACAUAAAAAAAAAAAAAAACAGGUGUUUGCUUGGAUUUUAAAUAGGGUAAAUAUGAAAUUGGAAGGCUGGAAUGAGCAAAUUAUGUCAAAAGCAGGUAAGGAAAUCCUCCUGAAAUCAGUGGUGCAGGCAUUACCUUAAUAUGCCAUGUCAGUUUUCAAAAUUCAAGUUUCAGUUUGUAAGGCUAUAGAGAGGAAAAUAGCCAACUUUUGGUGGAAAAACAGCGAGACAAGAGCUGGUUUGCAUUGGAAGAGAUGGGAUAUCAUGAAAAACAGAAAAGACAAGGGAGGUAUGGGAUUUAGAGACUUAACUACUGUAAACAAAGCCCUUUUGGGUAAGCAAGUGUGGCGGUUGGUUAAAAAUCUGGUUGCCUUGUGGAGCAAACUGUUAAAAGGGCUUUACUUCCAUCACAAAGACUUCUGGCAUGCUAAUCAAGGCACUAAGCCGUCAUGGGGCUGGAAAAGUUUACUAUCGGGAAGGGAGGCCAUAAUGGAUUCAGUGAGAUGGUCGAUCGGAAAUGGGCAAAACGUUAACAUUAGAACAGAUAAAUGGCUGAAGAGGUGACUAAUAGGAGGACCAGAAUCGAAAUGACCCACAAAAAGUCUGUGAGCUGAUGGAUUUUGAAACAGAACAGUGGAAUGCAUCACUCUUGCACAACCUCUUUGAUGAACAAACAACUCAGGAGAUUCUUGCCAUUCCAAUUAACCGUCAAAUUUCAAAAGAUGAACUGAUAUGGACAGGAUCUAAGGACGGGGCAUUUAUAGUCAAAAGUGGUUAUAAUACAUUAAGAGAACGAGAAACGGCAUCCUCUGCAAAGGAAAACCCAUCUUCAUCCCAUCAAACACCAAGAAAGCUAUGGAAUGCUAUAUGGAAGAUGCAAACUAGUCCUAAAGUCAGGAUUUUCAUUUGGAAUGUUUGUCAAAAUGCCGUCCCAUCCAAGGAGAAUCUAUGGAAACGAAAGAUUUUACCUGAUCUGAUUUGCGAUCUUUGCCGAGAGAGUAUGGAAACGGUCGAGCACCUCCAUCUUCUUUGUCCCUGGACAACAUGGGUAUGGAGCCACACGGAAAUCAACCUACAAGUGAUCGGCCAAGAGGUCACACGAAUUGAUGUAUGGCUAGCGAAGUUUAUCAACAACGACUCGAACCUACCUUCUCUGGAAAUGAUUUCAAAUAUCCUAUGGCAGGUGUGGAAGGAGCGCAACAACUGCAUAUUCGGGGAACCAAGCCAGAUGCCUGUAAAGUAGUAGAUCUGGCCCGAUUUCAGCAAAAAAGUCAAAAAAAAAAUGGGGUUUCGGGCAUGUGCAAGCAAGAACAGAAGAGGAAAACGAAAUAUCUCCAACUUGGAUAGCUCCGGUAGCUGGUUCUUUGAAGAUAAACGUGGACGGAUCCAUCCGUGAGGGGUCAACGGAAGGUGCCGUGGCUGGUGUAGUUCGAGAUUUCUCUGAUAGCCUCGUGGAUGGCUUCGCGAAGCAGGUUCGGGCAGUGUCAAGCCUUCACAUUGAAACCCUAGCUGUGCUUGAAGCCUUGGAGUAUAUAAAGCAGAAAAAGAUAGCAGAAGCUUCAGUUGAAACCGAUUGCAGAGGGCUCGUGCAAUCCCUAAAGUACAAGAAAGACUUUACCUGGGAAACACGUGCGAGCUGGACAAAGUGCCUUGAACUUCUGCAGCAACUUCCGAACAUGGAUCUGCGCUAUUGUUCGCGGGCCGCAAACACAGCUGCGGAUUGGGCUGCGCAACAAAAAAGAAGUAAAAGCCUCCCUUGCAACUGGACGUUUUCUCCCCCUCAAGGCCUAUGGGCCAUAUUAUGUAAUGAUGCGUCAAUUGUGGGGCUGAGACCAGCUAUAAUAUAAAUAAAAUAGCACUUUUUGACCCAAAAAGAGAGAGGAAGUUGGUGGGGCCCAAGGUCGCGCACACACUCCACGUCGAUGGCUGAAUUCCACUGCACCUUGGCGUGAAGUCUUCUGCUUGUGUAAGAAUCCAAAUAUGGUAGUGGGCCGAGGUCAAACUUUGACCUGGACACACAUAUAAAAACUGAUAUAAUUUCCUUCUUUGGGUUUUUGGCGUGAGUGGCAGAAAGAAACCCUACAUAGAAGAAGUGAGCGUGAAGCCGCACGUCCACCGAGCUAGAUUCCGCACGAAGCUUUGAAAAAAUAUAGAGUGUAUUGUUUUGAGUUUGAAUGUGCAGUAAUUUUGUGCGGUGAGUUGGGUUUGGGGUUAAAUUGGGGUUUAGGAAACACCGAGAAAGUGUUUGAGUGACUUGAGUGUAUAAUAUCCUUAUAUCGCUUGAUCUAUAGUAAAAUUCGCUAUUGCUCUUCUUGUGGACGUAGGUCAUUUAAAUCUAGUGUCCAAUUUAUUUUCUUCUUUUGUCUAUAUUAUUGUUCCAUCGCUCGCUUAUCGCAAUAGUGCAGUUGCCCACUGAGCUCUUCUUUGCCAUAGUCUUUUUUACAAGUAAAGGCAGUCUGCGUGAUAAAAUUGUCCAAAAUUAACAGAAUGCGGAGUUUUUCAUAAUACAUAAUCCGUGGCGGUGCCUCUUUCUCCGUGGAAAUACCUUGUUCUCCAAAAGAGAAUUCAUGCUCUCCCGCUCAUAAGGUAGCAGAUCGCAAACUUAAGAGUAUCAAGCGGAACAGAUGUCACCAAGCUGUAAAGCCAGAUGACACUGGCCCAACCCCGUCCAGUUCCUUUUAUCCUCGUGAAACCACAAUUUGCCUAAAACCGCUACAAUUGUUGCAACCUGUCCAUAAAAUAUUUUGCGUCAGGGAAGCAUUUUGUUGAAUGGUGAUUAAGUUAUUGCUGUCCAAACUUUUCUGAGGACUUUUAACCACCAUCAAUGAAAGCUAAUAAAUCUGUGGUUCUCACUUCAACCGGACUCCAAUCAAAUUAGUGAGUAGAAGGUUCUGCAGUAGACUUAUGAAGCCAGUAGAAAGUGAACAGACUAUGACCACCGAAAAAUUCGUACCAGCUGAGCAACUACGAAUGCGCUGACCUUGAAAAGUCCCAGGCGUUCAACAUAGGAUUGGCUGCUUAUUCAUGUGACAAAGAUUAAAGCGUGGCUAACUAUACCCACUCACAAGUAUAGGGCCAUCAUUUCAUCAGGGUUAUAUCUGAUUGAUUUAACACUGAAAUUCUCCUUCACCAUAGAAUAAGGUGGCGAUGUUUAAUUACUUCUCAUUCCAAUAAUUCAACAAAAGAUAUACACGAGAGACAGAAGUAGAAGACCGCACUAGAAACAGAUUCUUACUGAGAAGUCUGCAUCAUUUAUGGCUCAAAAUUAGUGCCAGGUAACCUCCAAGAACAAUUCCGGGGGCAAAAUUAUCUUUCAACUUCCAGCUAUCUUGCUAGGGAGAUGGCUUCACUUAAUCUCUGGAGAUUGUCACGAUCGUUCCUAAGAUUGGUAUAAAAAACUUGUCAAACUGGUCUUUUCGGCUAUUUUGAAAACCGGGAGUACAUGAACAAAAAAAAAACCAUCAUUUCUUGUCAUUGUUUAAUAUGGCAAUGAUCAAAACCAUAAGGUACGCAAAGUCAGACUUCCAGAUCAAAGCAACGAACAUAAAGCCAAACUGCCAAAGACUGGAUGCAUGAACUUUCAUAAGGGAAUAUUUUAUUAGCUUGAGUCUACAUCUAAGGUAGGACACUUACCGCAAUACCAAUUGUAAUGGAGACGGCGUAAAGCUCAUAGUAAGCUAGGAACACAAAUAGCAAUAUGCAGAGCCUCGGUGCAUUAUCCAUUGGAAACACAAUCCAAAUACAACGUAAUCCUUCUUUCUUUGAAAUAUAGCCCAGCUGGACAGCACAGUGCUUAUAAUGACACUCAAGCCCGUUUCAAUGAGGACAAUGUCCAAGCCCUUCUAGCAGCAUCAGUGGCAUCAGCAACUGCAAUCCCAAUGUCCGCCUUCUUCAAAGCAAGGGCUUCAUUCACGCCAUCUCCAGUCAUACCAUGUAAGUGCUUCCCCUGCUGCAGCUUCUUUGCAAUUUCGUAGUUGCGUAAUGACACGCCACUCACAAUGUCAGUGAAUAAAAAUCAUGUGGAUCUCUUAAAGUAGGAUUUCACAAUUCCAUAAGGUGAACCAAGAUAGUUGCAGUUCUUGAUUGAUCUGAGUAACUAUUCAAUUGUGUCUCUGCUUGGGUUCUUUCUUGACAUGCUCACAACUAUGCCACAUGAAGGAGACGAUUAGAGCAGUAAAUUGUGUGGAAUAUGAUGGUCGGUCAAGGCCUUCUCGCCUCAGACGAAAUGUAUGCUGAGGAAUGUCUUCUCAACAGGAUGUUCCAUCUGCACGAUGAUUUCAUUUUUAGCUCACACCUCAACCACCUCCUAUGGUUCUCCAUUAAUAAUUUGAUUUUUGGCCUUUGGUCCAUGUUUAGUUGAUCAAGAGGACCAAAGUAUUAUUAAGUAUUACAGGAGAUAAUAACUUGCUAAUUAAUGGAACAAAUCUACCUUGCCUAGCAUAAAAUUGCCAUGCUUGAAUAAUCAUGACAAAAAAGAACAUGACUGUCUGAAACAGAUAAAACCGAAUCAAUAUUCUUCUGUUGGACCAAUUUCACACAAAAAAACCCCGCUAAGAAAUUAAAAUUUGCUCAGGAAUAAUUUGAAGAGAAUUUUGAGUUACAAUUCUUUUAAUAUCCUUUCUCAGAACAAGAGUGGCAGAGAAUUUUAAGUCUGCUGAAAGUACAAAGAUAAGCUGAACACUGGGAUCAAGAGUUAUAGUGAGCCCUACAGAUGAAGAAACGGAAAAGCUUGAAAGUUGUACCGUUGAAACUUGGGUCGACUGCUACAAUAUGCAAUAGCUGAAAGGAAGGGAAUAAGGCGAUACAUGAGCAAGUUAACCCCUAAAUGAAUAGGGUUGCUGCUGCUGUAAUUCCUAGUGAAAACUAUGUUUGAGUCAUUUAUUCUGAAGGAAGCAGUUCCUGAUGAGGUUAAAAGCAUCUGAGGACUGCUUGUUGUAUGCUCUUGCUCGACCAAGGCUGCUUUGAAUCCAUGAUUGAGGAUUGGCGUGCUCGAUAGUGAGUGAUUUUGCUGGUUUUUUCUUGUAUGAUUGUUUCUAUUCUAAUGUUUCUUGUGAUAAGGGUCACUGAGUCUAAGUAGCGGUGUCAAAAACCAAUUUUUUAAUUCAUAUUUACUAGAUUGAAUCGCUCGCAUGGGUUAGUCAAAAUUUAAAGAAAUGAUUUGUUUUCGACUUAAAGUUGCAAAGCCCAGUUAGAUAUAGAUUUUAAUUGGUCUGGACGAAACCCACGUGCAACCCGCCAGACAAUGCCUCCCCUUGUUUGGGGUAGGCUGAUGCAGUUCGGGCUGCUGUUGAAGCUCACAAAUUCAGUUGUACUUGCAGAUUCGGACAAUAGCGAAUAGCGAUCAUGCAAAUCACAUAGUCGGUGGAUCUCACAGAGCGGGCACCAAGAAAUUAUCAAACUCUUCCAAGAAUCCAAUCUAUCAAGUCCUAGUUUCAACUAGAUUUUAGCGAACUCCAGACGAUUAAAUCUGAAAGAUCUAGCCUCUCAAUGGACUUGCAUCCAGGGCCAUGAAUUCUCACUAGAUUUUGCAAUUUCUGUAGCAGUCAAAGGCUUCAUAAACUUCGUCAGGCCUUUUAACGUACUUGCACCGAGAGGUAUCUAACUCUUCUAAGAACCGGGAUCAGAUUGUGACCAGACAAUGACAACCGACAGCAUCCAAAAGCUUCAUAUGAUUACCACGGCCUCCAAUUUCAACUAGUUGAUCAUCAAAUAGUUUCAAAUGAGUUAAUUGCAGGAGGUCCGGAAUUCGAGGGAUAUGCACUGACAGACAUCCGAUAAGUCCAAUGUACCAAGCCCUUAAAUUUCAUAUAGGCUUUCGCAUUCCCAAACCAUCACUUUAGACAUUUUGAUCGAGAAAGGUCCAACCGUCCAAGGGACUUGCACAAUAAGAAAUCCAAUACUUACAAAAACUCCAUUUUAUCAAAACCUUAAAUUUCUAGUAAAUUUUAACUUUCUUUAACAACUCUAAUCCAACAAUUGCUUGAAUUUUAACUAGAUUUUCGUGAUUUGCAAUAGUCAAUCACCUCAUACCAUUGAUUUGUGGGAUCUCUAGUCUUUUGAUGGAUAUGCAAGAAAAUAUCCAACUCUUCCAAGAACCCGGACUUAUCAUGGCCUUGAAUUUCAACAAGAUUUGCACAAGAUCAUGCCUUCAAAAGCUUCAUAUGAUCUAAUUGUGAAAGAUCCUGCCUUUCGAUAGACUUACAUUAUAACACAUUUAAAGUUUCCAAGAACCCAAGAUGGCCUUGCAUUUCGGCAAGAUUUUCCCAAGAAGAAGCUUUUAACUAUUUAAAUGAUAAAAUUGUGAAAGGUCCAACCUUUUUUUCUUUAUGGAUUUGUAUUAGGAAAUAUCUGACUCUUUCAAGAACCUGUGAAGGCCUUGAAUUUCAACUAGAUUUUCGUGACGACUAGCAUUUACUUUUUGCAAAAUGUUUCCAUUGAUAAAGAUCCAUCAUUUCCAUGGAAUUGCAUGAGUCAAUGCUCAACUUGUACAAGACUUGAAUCUAUCAAGACCUCAACAACACCAUUGUUUUUUGUUUUUAAAAUUUCGAUGUAGCUUUCAUUCCCUCCAAAUAUGCAAGGUCAUCAAGACCAGGCGAACUUGUACCCCCUGCUCCGUUCAAUAUUGUCGUUUCAUAUAUUUCAUAUUUUUACAUGGGGAAUCAAGAAAUGCCUUUAAAUUUUGACUAAAAUUUAAUUGUUAAUUGACUAAAAACAAACCCUGAGUCGUCGCCUUCUUGUUGUCCUCCGUGUAUGCACCGUAGUGACCUUAACGCAUAUAAUUGAUGUAAUGUAAUUGUUAAUUGACGUGAGAAGUAAUGGAAGUGGACCCAUAUAAUUGAUGUUAUAUAACUGUUAGUUGAGGUUGACUUAGAAAAUUGCUGAGCUGUUCCCUUCUAGCUCUAGGCAUUUUGCGGUGAAUGUCCCAUCCAGUCGCAGCUCCGAGUGGACCUUUACCUUUCACUUCUAGUAGAAGUCUUCCUCUGCGCGGGCGAGGUCGUUGCCUUUCAGGCAUUAUCCGGUGGCGAUUCUAUUUUGGCUUCGAAUGGAGUUGACGCACAUGAGCUCCUUUUAUUGUCAUUUAUGCACAUGCAAGUUGGUUAGAACGUGCUGUGCAUAGAAGGAUCGGUUGACUUUAUAUUGUUGUCCCCUUUGGCCACAACAUUAAUAAUGUAUCUACUAGGAAGGGAAAAAGAAAGGAACGACAGGACGUAAUAGCUAUGUUUCCCCUAUAAUUAAAUUACCAUUAUACUGGUAAAAUAGAUUUUAGGAGAUAAUAAUUUUAGAAGUAUACUUGAUUAUCAUAAGAAUAAGAGAUUUUGUUAAUAUUGAAAUGUAAGGACAUGGGGGAUACCACUAUAUAAUAUUGUUUGCUUUGGACUUUUGGCCCUAACUGCUUUAAAACGCGUUACACAGAAUACAUAAUCCAAACCUUAUCAACUAAUCUAAAACUCUCUCCGAGGCGAUGUGAGAUAGAAGGCAUGCAUUUAGCCUCACCCACGUACUGCCAAGGCAUUGCACUAGACUGUCCUUCCAUAUUCCCGAAUUUGGUUGUCACAUUCUCUACCUCUUAAGACACAACGCCCUCAUUGUGACCCCACACACUAUCGAGAGUCAACUCUAAUACUACUUCCAGGAUCUAGGUCGUCACAAUAUAUAUAUAUAUAUAUAUAUAUAUAUAUAUAUGUAUGUAUAUGUAUAUAUGUCUCUUGAAUUAACCAAGAAAACUUUUACGUUCAAUUGAAUUAAAAAUAAAAGAAACUUUUUUUCAAAAGAAUAGAAAGAUAAAUGUCACUUAUGAAGAGUAUCACAUGUCAGCCAUUCAUUGAAAGUACUUUAGUGCAGUACUUUACACUUAACAAAUAAGAUAAUUUAGUAUAUGUGAUUUAGAUCGAUAAUGAGACAUAUUUGUUUUUAUAAGCUUAACUUGAGCUCUAAGAAAUUAUGCUUUCUUUUUUUGAUCAAGCACAUAAAAAAUUUGCUUUUUAAUAACUUAUGAACUUUGAUAAAGAAAAUAACAAUAAAUGUUCAUGUUGUUACUCAUUUUCUUUAACUUUCGGUCUUACUAUAUGUUAAAUUAGAAAACUUAUUGGUAUUGAUAUAUCUAAAGGCAAGUCUAACGGUGGUUAGUUUUGUCUUGUGGCUGAAAAUUUGGAAUCUUUUACGAAACAUUUGUCCCACGAGUGAAAGCUGGGGGCCUUUCGGGGCAAACGCCAGUGGCAUUAAAAUCAUCUUUUAUUUUUCGAGGAAAAUAUUAUAUUGACAAUAAAAGAAGCAUCUGUUCACAAUUUUUUUAAAAAUAUCUAUUUUAAUAAGAUACGUUGUUUUAAUGUAUUGUCUUUAUUUUCAGUUUAUACUAUAUUUUUCCCAUAAAUAUAAGGAAGAAUACUAAGUACAUUUGUUCAAGUAAUUAAAUAAGCCAUAAUAUUCAAUUGUUAGAGCUGCAGAUUUUUCAUCCAUUGUUUGAUGUAUGUGCAAAUUUUCCACCCAAUGAACUUUUCGUGUUGUUUUCUUUUUCUUUUUUCUUUUUCCAAGUCUGUGUUUUAGGAUAUGAUAAGGGAAAGGAUUUCACUUACCAUCAAAUUAAUGAGAAUGCAUAAAAUCAUCCUCCCAAUAAGAAUAUUUUUUCGACCAAAAGAAAAUAUUUUACUGUCAAUCUAUGGAUUAAGGUAAUUUGACUUUUAAUUUUUCUAACUAAUUAUUCUAAGGACCGACAUUAGCUUUUUAUCCUUCUGAUACUAAUAUUCCAAGUGUCAAUUUGGAGUGUGAUGAAUAGAGUAAUACGAAUAUCUAUAGCAAAAUUUUAGAUUAUUCCAUGGGGCUGAUGGAUUUUUCAACCACCAAGCCAUUGUCAAGACAAAUAAUUUUAAGAAAAAUCCAGAUGAGUGUUUUCUAAAUUCAUGUUGCUUUUGGCCAUAUUUGCUUUUGGAGGCUCUUACAGUGCAUAUUUUCAUGUCUCACAUUCGCCUUAAAGGUCAUCCAUUUUGUGCGUUCUAUUUCAGGGCAGAAAAUGGAAAAGUCGUCAUCUUAAAUGCCAUUUCAGAUAGCAUACCAAUACAUUUUAAAAGGAUGAACAGACAAAAACUUCUUAUCUAUAAAAGAACGGAAAACCUGGAAAAAAGGUGACCCUUCUGCUUCUUCUCGAGUAUUAUAAAAAAGCAUUCCCAUCUCCCAUGAAGGAGUUGCAAUCUCGCUAAAGGAGUUAAGGUUUACUCCGGCCUUUUGAAGAUGUGAUGGUUGUAAAUAUAAUGACUGUGAUAAAAAGAGCUUGUAAAAGUAUUGUUAUAAUAUAAAUUAGUAUGUCAUGCUUGAUGUACGCCCCAGUCUUCCGGCUGUUAUUUGUUCAAGGAGUUGUUUAUUCACAUUUCUGCGUGUGCAUAAUAACAACAUAAAAAAAAAAAAAAAUUGGGACAGCAAUGAGCCUGUGAUGUCGCAAAAAUAACCUCUGUUGCUCGUGACCUUGGAGGUGGAGUUAGGGUCAUGACAACAUGGUAGUUAACAGGUGUACCAUUUUAGGUUUUAUUAAUUUAUAGUUUUCGUAAAAUUAAUAUAAUUUAACAAAAACUAAUUGAGGGCAAAUAUGUCAUUUAUGUAUCAGUUUGAGAUUUUUAGUGGUCAAAAAAUUAGUUUAGAAUAAAUUUAUUACAGAUAUGUAUCAAUUUGAGAUUUAUAAUGAUCAAAAAAUUAGUUUGUAAUAAAAUUGUCAUAGGUAUGUCAGUUUAUGGUUUUUUUAUAGUAUCAACCCUCAAUUAAAAAUGUUUUACAAUUAUGCUUAUUGUUCAUCAAUCUAAAAAUACGACAAUAACAAUCAUUCUAUAAUAAAACAGUGGUUUUUACAACAUAAUCAGUGGUAUUUUUAAUUAUUCUCAUGACUUUUGAUAAGUUAACUGUGAUUUUAGGAUAAUUUUUUUCUAAAUGAAUUAUAAUGUGUAUUUGUAUAUUGUAUUAAAUUCAUUGGCAUCAAUAUCCCAUUCCACUUUCACAAUACAUUUCUCGUAACAAAGCAAAAGAACCUUCAUUGUAUCCAUCCCGUAAACUUGCUAAAUAGAAAGUUAUAUCAUUCCAUUUUCAUUGUACCGGACACAAAUUUAGUGGAAGUUGAAUAGGUUGUGGCUGAUUGGUGUUGCUUUGGCUUCGAACUUUGAAACUUUUACAUGGAUAUCCAUUUGGUUUUUUGGUAGGAUGCCACAGAUUAUAGAUCACGUGUGCAUUGUGCGUCUCCAGAUCAAUUCGGAAAAGAAAAAAGAAUUUAGUUUGCAAGGAAAAGUUUAAGGAUCCCAACAUACAUUUUGCGAAAGCUUCAAGUUUAUUGAUGUUUAUAUAUAUAUACACAAUAUACCUGUCUUACAGCACUACUAACAACCGGGAGUACCAAGUUAGCCUACGGCUGUGAGCAGUAUUGUAAGGUGUGCUGUCACGCCCCGAUCCUCGGUCAUGCACACAUCUUUCCACUUGGUCGAUUUUAAAAUGCAAUAUCCUAGGACUAUGUAUCGCCGACCCUUUCAUUUUUUAUAGCACAUACGGAAGCAGUUAUAAAUCUCCAGACAAUAAAACGAUGGGAUAGAAUAGUAAGGCCAUAUUUUUUAUAUUGAAAUACAUAACCAUACUUUUAUACAGAGUAUAACUCAAAGUCUAUUCACAAGACUAUUCAUAACAUUCUAGUCACACUCUAUAUACACAACACAAGGUUCACAAAAGAGGAUGGGAUCUCAGUCCUCAUCCGGGUUGUACUCAGGAUCAUCCUGAUCCUCUUCUGACUCUUCUUCACUAAGCUCACAUCCUUCAAGCUCUUCAUCUUUUUUUUGGCUCAUCGUCCUCUUAUGAUUCCUCCUCCACAGGCUCAUCUACGGGUCUGAAAUAUUGUCCCAUAAUCAAGAUGAGACUACGUCUCAACAAGUUCUACUCCACUAUGACUCGAUUAGGAAACCAAUACGCUAACCGGGCUGCCUAUGCACACACAAGUCAGAGGACUUACCUUGGCCUCAAAUUUCAACUGUAUAUUAGUACAGUUCAAUAGGCACCAAAGCAAUCAUAUUAUAGAUCGAUAUCUCGAUCAAUCAACUUAGUCGAUUUCAUGUCAAUCGAACUAUUCAUCGGUCAUUUCACUUUAAUCAAUCAAUUCACGAUAAACGAAUCAAAUCAAUCGGCCCGAAAAAUGGUCUGCAAGCUUGCUGCUCAAGCUGAAAAAAAAAAAAAAUCAGAAGCUGCUGGGUUUUCCCCCGGUUGAUGGGCUGAACGGACGAACGGCAGCAGCCUCGAACGAAGGAGAGAAGCCGCGCGAGUUUCGAUCAAACCAGCGGCUUUGGUGAAGAUUAAAGUUGACUGAAGAAGCUUGAACGGUUCGCUUCUGUGAUGCUGCAGACUUCGGGCGGAAUAAAAAAAAGAACGAAGGCAAUGCAAAGACAGGCUCCGAGACGUGCAGAGGAAGAGAGAAAGUGGAUGAAAGUUUCGGUCAAAGAAAAGCAAAAGAAAGAGAUAAGCUUGGACUAAAAUCAAAGCAAUCAGAGAGGUGGGAAAAUGGGAUACGGCAGGGGGAAAAUUGCACGAGGAGAGAGAGAGAGAGAGAGUAUUCGUGCGGGUGAGUGGGGGUGUCGGCCAAGUGGGGUAUGGGGAAAAGAAAAAAAGGAAAUUCAAGGAAAUUAAAAGAAAUUAUCCUAAAAAAUCAAUAAUUCUUGUCCCAUAUGCUUCUGUUUAGUCCAAUUUAAUCCCUGAAAAUUUCCAGACUAAGGUACUUGAUCCCCACUUGCUUUCUUGCAUAACAUUUCUCUCGACAAUGAAUCUCGGGCAACAAAAACGGCAAUUUUCUUCAAUUCCGAAUUUUAAUUCAUUUUUCUUCGAAAUCCGAUUUUCUGAAUAAAUAAAUUCAGUUGAGGUCCCAUUUGAAUUCAAAAAAAGUCCAAACAACUUCCAUUCACUAAUUCACUCACACCAGAUGCCAAAAAUCCAUUCAAAAUGGCCAAUCCGAAUUUCCGUUAGAUUUCCGAAUUGUCCGCAACAAUUUUCCCAAAAAAAAUCCUGGACUCUCUGAAAAAUCUUCUGAGACUGAGUUGACGUUCCUAGAAUUUAUUGUGACAUGAAAGAAUCUUCAAUAUCUGAAGUCGGACUCAAAUUUACGGUUAAUUACCAUUUGGCGCACUUUUAGUGUAACCUAAGCUAUUGGGUAGUUUUCGGAACUUUUUAAGGCAAAUGACCCGUGGUCAAUUUUCUUCGAACCACUCUGAACUCACUUGACUCAAUGGCGACUCUCGAUUAUCAUGAAAAUCUCGAUGAUUCAAUUACGGACACAUGGUACCAAAACGACAAAAAAAUCAAAUUAGUAUCGGUCGACGAGAAUUUUCAAAUUUAGUGGAGUCACCCACGAUUGACCAUACAUCUCAGUCGAACGGACCUAUCUCUAAUCUCAAAUCGAUUUUAAUUAUGCCGCAAUAGCCUCUAAAAAUCAGCACAGUCGAGAAGUCGAUUCCUAGUCGAUUUCUCAAGUUUAUUGCCUUAAAAUUUGUUAAUUAUUCACCCAGACAGUCUAGUUAUCUCAAGAGUGAUCGGCUCUAAAAAUAGCCCUAUAAACGCGUCAACGAAAUGCCCGAUUAAUUCAGUAGAAAACAUGUUGAAAAAUCUGGAUGUUACACGUGCUAACUCAGUAGUGAGCAUUUUACCCACCCUCACUUACCCCAAGUGCAUGAUGCUACUAUACCUGUCUACCCGGCAGUAGUCAGGACUAUUAUUUUGAUGUGCACCACCGUGAGGCCUCCUAAUUUUCUGUCUAUUUUUGUCUUCCCAAUAGAGAAGGAAUAUGAGAGUGACCGCCGAACUGUUGUCCUAACGUAGUGUCUGUCUUUAUCACCGUGAGGCCCCAUAAUUCCUUAUCUAUUUUUAUCUUUCCGAUAGAGAGGAAAUACGGGAGUAACAUUGUGGGAUCUUCCGCCUCUGAACGGUUCUCCCACCUAUUUCUUCUACUUUAGUCUUUUAGGGACCUAUUCAGAUCCAAUAAACCUAAAUUUUGCGGAAGUUUCAAGUAUAUUGGUGUUCAUAUAUAUAUAUACUGUAUACCCGUUGACAGUGGUCGGCAGGUUAAAAAGGUCACUAUGCAUGGAUGAAAAGAAAAUUUUUGAAAAAAAGAGUCUAAAAAAGCUUUGCAAAAGGAGAGAGCACGCGCGAUGUGCUCUGCCUUUCCAAACAAACAGCGUCACAAAAGGGAAGGGAGAGGAGGGAAAAUAUUGGCUGCACCUGUGAUUGACAACUCAGUAAAAUAAUAAUUCAUUUAUUGAUUGACACGUGUCCUGUGGCUCCCCACUGUCAGAUUUGUCAUAAAUCUCUCACUUGCCUUCCUCCCUCCCCCCCCCCCCCCCCCCCUCUCUCUCUCUGUUCACGGUCUCUCUCUCCGACGGGGCAAUCUCUCUCUUCCUCCCGACGCAGCAAGCUCUCUCUCACUUGCCUUAAUCCCUCUUUCUUCUUCCUCCGUCUCAUCUUUGCUCCGAUCACCCCUAUAAAUUAUAACCAUUCCUAGCGGCUUUAAUUUGCAGUGACAGUUCUACCUGUCCAGUAACUUUCGGCUUCGUAGAGCUCAGAGGCCUGCUUUUGCUGAACUGGAGCGACUCUGGUUCUUCAUUUUCUCUGCAAUAGGUCACGAUGCAAGGGUGCUACUUUGAAGUGUUCUUGAGCUUCAGAGGAAGGGACACACGCGUAGGCUUCACCAAUUUUCUCUAUACCUGUCUCGUAGAUGCAGGAGUCCGUGCAUUCAAAUAUGAUCAAGAUCUCCGCAUUGGUGAAGACUUCAGCCCGGAGCUAAUCCAAGCGAUUAUGCAAUCAAUGAUCUCCAUACCCAUCCUCUCUAAAGGUUAUGCUUCCAGUGUAUGGUGUCUUAAGGAGUUGACCAAAAUGCUGGAGUGCAGGAAAAGGAAGGGACAGAUAAUCAUGCCCAUCUUUUACGAUGUCAAACCAUCCGAGGUUCGAGACCAAACCGGAUGUUAUGGCGAGGCCUUUCUUUCUCACCAAAACAAGCGGCGAUACACCGAUGAGACCAUCCGCAAGUGGAGAGCUGCUCUCCACGAGGUUGGAAGUUUGCAGGGAUUCGACCUCACAGCUAACAGGUACCAAAUUCUCUUCCACCCUUGACGAACUCCAUAAUACAGGAGACCAUGAAAUUUAAGUACAAACCUUUGCAUCUCAUCAUAACGUGCUUUGUCUGGGUCGAUUUAGUAAAAAUUUGUACCACUAAUUGCGUGGCCUGUUUGUAUAAAGCUGAUUGCUGUGUGAUAGUUUUCGAAAGGAGUGCGUUGACUUUUUAAUGCAAGCUACUCUAGAGUUCUUUUUUUUUUUUUUUUUUGGAAACAAGCUACUCUAGAGUUCAGACUUUAUUGGACUUGCUUUAAUUCCUGUGCAUGUGUCACGCGUGCAUUGAUGCAGCCACGAAGGUUCACUCGUCGAGGAAAUUGUCGCAAAUGUGUUGAAGGUAUUGAAGAGAUACUUUGUUGGAAUCGAGCAUCAUGUGGAGGGAGUUAUGAAAUUAUUAAAUGUGGAAUCUAGCGAUGCUCGUGUAGUUGUAAUACAUGGCAUAGGGGCACCGGAAAGACAACAAUUGCAAAGCUCGUCUACAAAAGAAUGUUUCGUCUCUUUGAUGGCUGUAGCUUUCUGGAAAGCAUUAGAGAAAAUGAAUAAAGACAAAUAGGUUUAACAGUUUUGCAAUGUCAGUUGAUUUCUGACCUUUUGGGUGCCACACAUAGACAAAUUAAUUCUUUUGAAGAGGCGACUAAGCUUAUUAGAGCCAACAAGAAAUUUCUCAUUGUUCUUGAUGAUGUUGGCACAAGCUUUCAACUUGAACAAAUUCUAGAAAUCGUGAUUGGUUAGGCUCUAGAAGCAGAAUCAUAAUUACCACUAGAGACGAACAAGCUUUAGAUAAAUUUGAAGUGUCCCUGAAAUAUGAGGUCGGGGGAAUGCGAGAAGAGGAAGUCGAUGAACUAUUCCGCGCUCAUGCCUUCAGGGAGAGACCUGCUCCAGCCAACUUAGCUACUUUGUCCAAAAACAUAGUAUCAACUAUUGGCCGGCUUCCUUUGACUAUCGAGGUUGUUGGGUCGUAUCUAUAUUCUAAAAGCAAGGACGUGUGGAAGCAAACAUUAAACGAAUUGAGAAAAGUACCUGAGCCACAAGUUCAACAGAAAUUGAUGGUAAUCAUCAAAGCAUUACCUAACGAGCAAAGACUGAUAUUUCUAGGCAUUGCUUGUUUCUUCAUUGGAGAGGACGAAAGUGUUGCGUGCUACCUGUGGUCUGACCGUGAUUCUGCAAGUGGAUCGGUAUUAGAAGCGCUUGUCAACUCGUCUAUUGUUAAGAUUGAGAACGAUAAGUUAUGGAUGCAUGAUCAACUUCGAGACCUAGGUAGGGAUAUUGUCCUACAAGAACAUCCUCAACCUGGAGAGCGCAGUAGAUUGUGGAGUCACAAGCAAGCUUGGGAUGUGCUGGUGAAUAAAAAAGUAAGAUACAAGUUCAUCACUGUUUUUACCUUACAAUUGUAUGCCUUACUACUCAUGUUCCUCUUUUCAUAGAAAGAAAACUAUUUAGGGUGCGUAUGUUUCGCGAAAAAAAUAACUUGAAAAAUAUUUUUCUAAAAAUGAUCAUUUAUAAUUUUGAAAAAUAAUUAGUUAAUGAAUUUUUUUCAUUAUUGAUAACAAUUUAUAUCUAUUUAUUUUCGUGAAUAAUGUAAAUAUUUGUUGUUUAUUCGUUUUUGUAAGAGAUGAAAAUGAUCAUUUUUAAGAAAAUUUUUUUCAAAUCAUUUUUUUUUCGUGAAAUGAAUUGAUCCUUAACAAAAUGAUUUCUUUAGUUUGAAGUCUCUAAGCAUUUAUCAUCAUAUUUUUGUGCGGCAAUGCCCAGUCCCGUGGUAAUCCAAAUCUUGUAUUCCACGUGUAGGGAACGGAAAGUGUUGAAGGAGUUCUUCUCAAAUUUGGUAGUGGGUCACAAUACAGUUUUGGACAAGCACAUUUUGCGAGCACAUCGAACAUAAGAUUCCUUCAAUUGGAUCAAGCGAACCUCCAAGGAAAUUUUGAGCGGCGUCUGUCGAGUUUAAGAUGGCUUUAUUGGCAAGGUUGUCCUCGGCAUCUUCUUGCUAAAAAAUUGGAUUUGAAGGAGUUGGUUAUUCUAGAUCUUUCCUGGAGCAAGGUCAAUGAAAAAUGGAAUGGUUGGAGUGAAAUCAAGGUAGAGAAGCACAUUAUUGUUAAUUUCAUUUGUCAAAUUGUUGUGGAAAAGUUGACUCUUUUGUUAUUCUAUUUUCUGACAGAAAGCCGAGAAAUUGAGAGUUUUGAACCUCACCGGCUGUUAUGAUGUGAUUAGAACUCUAGACUUAUCUCAUUACAAAUGUUUAGAGAGAUUGAAUCUUGAAAGUUGCAUUCGAUUGGUUGAAGUCGGUUCAUCAGUGAAAAGUCCGGAGCGAUUGGUUUCACUGAACUUGAGGUAUUGCACUGAACUCAAUAAGUUGCCUGAAGAGCUGGGUUCCCUCAUAUCCUUGGAAGAGAUUCUUAUAGAUGAAACUGCUGUUCAAGAAAUUCCUGCCUCGAUCGGUCAUUUGCAAAAGCUUAGAAGAUUCAGUGCCUGCAAGUGUGCUUCAUUGAUCCAGCUACCUGAUUCGAUUAGCCAUGUGAAAUCACUGAGAAUCCUCGCACUGAGUGGUACCAAAAUAACUAGGCUUCCCCAUUCUAUUGGAGAGUUAGAAGUGCUACAACACUUGUCAAUAAAUCAUUGUAAGUCAAUAUUAAAGUUACCAUUGUCCUUGGGGACUAUGGCUUCAUUGAUCGAACUUGAUCUUUCAAGUGUUAGGGAAAUUACUUAUGAUGUUUUGAAGAUGACAAAAUAAAUCAAAGGCUACUAACAUGUUUAAUGGUUAAGUAAUAGACCAUGCAGAUAAUAGAACAUGUAAAGGAUAUUGUCAAAGUCUGAAGACGGCCAGAAGACUGAACGUAACAUCUGUCCAAAGUAUAUUCUGAAGAUUUCCAGAUUUCUGUGUCAAAGUCUGAAGACUGUCAGACUUUAGUGUCAAAGUCUGUUCUAUAUCAGAAGUCUGCUCACUCUGACAAAUUCCAGACUGAACGUGAAGGAAGAACCAGAAGACAGACUCUAUGUUGGAGCUGAACUUAUUCAGACGGUAGUCAGACCUUAAAGCUAAAUCUGUUUAGAAGCAGAAUAUGUUCAGACUCAGAUUGCAAAGUCUAUCGCACUCAGACUCGGAUUGUAAAGUCUAUUGCUCUCAGACUUUACAUCUAGACUCAACAGAACGUAACUCAAGCCCAAUCAUAUAACGGCUAGUGAUCUGGUUUGGAUUCCACAUCAAGAUUGAUUUGAUUGACUUAAUCUAUUUGAUUGACGAUUGGAUCUUGAAGACAAGAUCUUUUUAUACGAAGAAGCUUUACUUAUGGAAACCAAGAUUCUAUUUGUAUGGGCGAUCGGAAUCAAUUUGGGAUUCUACCUUUGUCACUCAAUAGCUACCAAAUCUUCUAGAUACAGAGCUGUCCAAUGGGUAUAUUGGAAGACGAUUCUCCGGGAUACUGUCCAACGGCUAGUUUGGAAGUGGAGGAGUAUUUAAGGAGAUCAUGGACCAAUGAGCAAAAAAGAGACGGAGCGUAGAAUUUAUAAUUCCAAAGUCUGAGCGACCUUCGAUCAUACACUUGUCUUUGGAGAGCUUAAACGUUUGUGAUCGUGAGAGAAAUACCAAAGGAGUGACUUAGUGAGAUAGUGUGAUCUACUAAGUGUUUGCACUCGAAGUUGUAAUCUCUUGUUGAUUGCAUAGUGGAAUCCAGCCAAGAAGGCUGUUAGCGUGGGAGAGUGGACGUAGGCUUGGAUUAAGCCGAACCACUAUAAUUUCUGUGUUCUUAUUCUCUUCCUUAACUCCUUUGUUUGAAAUUUAUUUUAUUCCGCAUAUAUUUGCCAAUAUUUAUCUUAAACACCUAUUUACCCCCUCUAGGUGUUCAUACUAGUACUCUCAUCAAGCACUACAAUUGUCGAAUUACCUAAAACCCGUCAACAAGUUACACCUUUUAAGAGUGCUCAAAAUUGAUUUUACUUUUGUGAGAGAGCUACCUAGCGCUACGUGGACGUUGAAGAGGCUUGAAGAGCUGCACGUUUCCAAAUGUCGGAGUUUGGAUGGAGAAAUUCCUAGAGAUAUUGAGAAGCUUUCGGAAUUGAGGGUCUUGAGGCUUGGGUACUCUCGGAUUCGUGGUCUACCAGAUAACAUUUCUACGCUUACCAAUCUCCAAACACUCGAUCUGCUUCAUUGUGACAAGCUACAUAAUGUGCCCAAGCUUCCUUCCACUUUAAAAAGCCUAUCUGUUUGUUCUAAAUUUAUGGAUACAAUCCCAGACAUCAGUGAUCUGGAUAAAUUGGGGGAGUUAUUCUUGGCUGAUGGAUCCCAGGAAUUGGUGUUACCUGACCAAGGUCAAAUUGAGGUGAAAGGACGCACUUAUUUGGAGCUUGGGAGUUUGUCAGAACUAAAGAUAUUGCAGCUAUCUGUGUUAAAGAUCCGACUACUGCCUGUUAAAUUGGAUCACCUUCGUAAGCUCACGAAGCUCUCCCUUUGCUGCAUUCACUUGAAAAAGCUACCACAGCUUCCUCUAGGUUUAUUCACUCUAUCGCUUUGCCAGUACAAAUCGCGGAGAAGAUUGCCAGAUCUUUCAUAUUUGGACCUUCUAUCAGAAUUUGAGCUUUUCGACUAUGCAAUAACAAAAGUUCGAGGCCUCGGGAAGUUCAAAUCCUUACAAGUUUUCAGAAUAUCUCAUUGCAACCUGCAACAGCUGGAUGAGCUGGAGAACUUGAUAUUUUUAGCAUCAUUGAAUGUUUCCUACUGUCUAAGUCUUGAGAGACUUCCGGAUCCAUCAAAACUGAAGAAGCUGAAAGAUAUUAAAAUCAAGGGCUGUCCGAGGAUUGGUGAUAUUAAAAGUGUGGAACACCUGAAUUCCUUUGGAAAGCCAAGCAGUUCAAAAACUGAGGCGGAAACCUCAUCCGAGGUAACCAACACUACUGAUUUUCCCGCUGGAAUGCGUAAAUGGAGGAUGGCACUUGAUAAGCACGUAUCUUGUCUGGAAUUUUUACAAAGAUGAAUGGAUUGCUUAAUAAUAACAAAAACGCAUGACGCGAUGAAUUGUACAGGAUAUUUUCUCACAUUAACACAUGCGAAAUAAUUUUUCAAAUGAAAUUCAAGUCAUCAAGAUUUUAUAUUUCUUUCUUCUUUUUUAACGGGUAGAUGGGUCCAAAUAUGUAAGGACUCCACUUCUUUUUCUUCAUUUUUUUACAUUUUUUAGCAUUUAUCUGUGAUAUACAACAACAGUACUUCUAUUUGUCCCAAUUAGUUUAAUCAAGCUUUCUGGAGGUGUUGUUACCUACUCAAUCCAGAGCGUUGAACGUUGUAUUGGUGUCUUAAAUCUUUGAUGUGGUGCGUAACAGCACUGACUGCUGUACCGGAAUCUUAAAUUUCUGAUGUAGUACUUCCGUUAUGCUCAAGUUAAUUCUUACUCCAAAGUGCUGUGAAUAAAUUAUGAUGAGUGGCCCAUAGAAGGUAUUCCAUUCUCCAAACUGUUCUCUUGUAUUUUAGACUUGUUGGACGGGCUACUCUUCCAAGGACAUUAUCUGAUCAAUACAGUCAGUGAAAUCUAAAAACUCCUUUGAUCUCUUUUAGCGUUCAGUAAGUUUAAAUCUAAGCAUCGACCUCUAUAACCGUUUGACACAAGGUAGAAAUCUUAUUUGACGCACUGAAUACAUGCUUACACAAGUUUUGUCACAGGUAGAAUCUAGCGAAUUAGCUAUUCGCAAACAUUCUUCCAUUCAGGGUGUCAAACGCAAAUACAAAGGUAUGCUCUACAUUGAGAUUGUCAAAUUUGGGUUGUUCCAUAAGAUCAAAGUGUGAGGUCAACCUUGUAAUGUGGAACACUGAAAUAGGUCAUGGCUAGAAAGAUGCCAGACCAUAAGGAUAGGCAAUUAAGGGAUUAAUUCGAGCUAUGUCAUACUGUUACAACUGAUUAGACUUUUGACUAAUUUUUUGGGCCAUGUAGUAUAUCUUACACCUUAACUAUUGCUCCUCUUGCCUAGCAAGAAGUAAGUACAUAUGCUCCUUAAGAAUAUAGUCUACUAGAGCAGACAAACAUCAUCAGCCCCUUUCAUCCUCAAUUGUUUUCUGCUUGUCGGUGGAUCUGACAGGGACCGAAACUUCUGGCAUCUCUCCAACGAUGGAGCAAGGUGAUAUGCCAUUUGACAGGGCAUCAACUGUCCCUUCUCUGGCAACAAUUGUUCCUGCUUUGCCUCCUCCUGCUGCUCGACCAAAGCCAUCAUCAGCAACGGAUGAAGAUAGAGCCCCUACUGAUGCUGAGGCGGAUAUAUAUGGUGACGAUGAGGAGUCUCUUUUCUUGAAGAUUGACUCUCUGUUGAGUGGCAACUCAGGAAAGCGAAAUACUGGUGCAGGGAUGUCACAGUCAAGUCAAUCUGAUUUUCAAGCAUACCAGAAAGCAUCACAAGAGGUGGAAAAUAUAAUGAGUCAGGGGCUCCUGGCAAUUAUGUUUAAUCCCAAGCUACUUGGCCAUUUGCAAGAAUUAUUAAGCUUCUUAGUCGAACACAAGACACCAGAGGUCUCUACAUUUGGACAUGUCUAUCUCAAAUUGCAGCACUUCAUUCAGUCCGUGAGCAACUCCCUCUCUUCCCUACGAAAGAUCUUUACUGAAUGUGAGAGCUUUGAAAAAGAGUUCAAAGAGGAAAAGAAUUUUUUGGAGUAUGACAAGGAUGAAGUCCUUUUGCUCGAGCAGCAAAUUGAAGAAACAGCUAGGAGUGUGGAUGAAAAUGAGCAAUUUAUUGCCAAACUUCAUGCAGAGAUUGAGGCACGCAAGCUCCAACUUGAAAAUGCAAAGUCAGAACUGUCAUCAUUGUUGACAAAGAGAUCAGAGAAAGUUAAGGAACUGAAGAAUAAGUUCGAGCAGGUCCUUAGUAUGAAGAGUGAGAAUCCAAGCAUGGAAAAGAAGAGAAAUCAAGCUCAGGAAACAAUUGGCAAAAUCAAUGUAGAGUGGAAUGAAUUGCAUGCGGAUAUUAAAGGCCGAUUGGCCUCUAAAUAAGCUCGCACUUUUAACUUUCUCUUAUUUGAAUCUUCGUGUAUUGAACUUUUCCAUCCUAGGACAAAAACACAGGUUUUUGGAGUUUCAUUCCUACUUAUUUGUCAUUGCUGAAAACGUGAAACAAAGUCUAUUGAAACAAAGAGAACACUCUCACAAGCGACGGCACUUUGAAGGAAAACCAUUUGAGUAAAGAAUUAGUGUGCUCAUCUUGCAAACUCAGCAUGCCGCUCGGCUUGGUCUGCAAUCUCUGAAGGCUCGCUGUAACUAGUCAUGCCAUAGGAAAGAUUGCUAGUUUCAGGAGGCAGCAAGCCAUGCAGAGUCCUCUAUGCAAUGCAGUGGCGCACUGUGCUUCUCGUUCAUCUUUGCCACAGUCCUUCAUGGUAGAGAAGGCGGUCUCCGUGAAAAUAUCGGCCGAAAUUAGCAUAACGUAGAUAUCCCAUGCGUGUUCUCUCCACGUCGAAUUUCAGCAAAGUCCAGGUGUAACCAUGCACGUAAAGACGUGGCUUUGUCUAAGAUGCCUUGUUCCUUGGGGGCAACCUUAUCCACCAUCCAAGCAUGUCAAGAGAAAUUGAUAAACCUGUCGAUAGAGUUGGCAACAAUGUAUCCAAGAUAAGACUGUUGAAAAUUUCCUAUAAUAUGAGUUUACAUUAAUUAAUUGAUUUUCUAUUUUAAAUAAUCGGGUUAAUGGAUAUUCCAAUAUUUGUUGAACCCUAAAGUGAUAUGAUUGAAUUGGGUAUUGGCAUCUAUUGAUAACGGGCUUGGUUAAGCAGCAAAGUGUAGGCAAUUGUGUUUGACUAAAGCCCAUAAUGGGAAGGGCCCAGUUGACACGCUAUUGAUUAGGGUUUGCUAGGUCCCCUCUUUAGCCUAUAAAAUGAUAGGUUAUACUAUCAGUUGCUUUAAUCCUAUUGAAAGAUGCUUUAUCGAAAUAGGUCAUAGAUCUGGCAUUCUAAUAGAUCCCUAAUUAUUAGAGCGAUCUACUUUUCUGCAAGUGAAGCAAUGGCUCAAAUAAGUACGCUUUAAUUCUGUUGUAUUUAUUGAUUGGUGUUUUACAAUCAUAUAUAGAUAUGUUAUUUCCUUGAUUGAUUAGUUGUAUAUGUGAAUAAAUAUUAUACAUGUGGUAUCAGAGCCAAUCAUAUAUGAUUGUAGAACCUAAAUUUUUUUUUAUUUUUUUUUUAUGGACAAAUUCAAAAUCCUUCUCUUUGAGCCGAAUAUGGGCACUAUUUUUUAGUGUAAACUUUUUGCUUAAUUGAUUCUGAAACCAUAGGGCUUUUGUUCUACAUGUCAAGAUCUUUUCAACCAUAUAUAAUUUGCAUAAUUUCGUUGAGAAUUGAGAGAGAAUUUUAGAUUUGAAAUUUCUAGGGUUUAUACGUGAAAAAGUUCUAGAAUUUGCAAAUUACUUGCAACUGAUUGAUGUUUGUUGUAAACCGUUGUAUGGGUAUUGUUAUAUAUUUGUUUUAGUAUCCUUUUGUUGUACUAAAUUGAGUUUUUAGGGUUUAAAUUUAAGAAAACCGAAUUUUCGGCCAUGGGAGGUUUAGAUCCGAAACUUUGAAGCUUAUAUGUGGUGGAUUUAGUUGGUUUUUCUUCGUUUAGUUAAAUCUAGUUAAUUAAAUUGAUGUUAUAAGCAAAACCCAUGAGGAAAUUUCAUCAAAAACCAUGUUAAUUUGUGCCUUCAGAGCUUCGGGUCGAAACCGGGUCGUACGACCGGUUUGCUGCAAAUUCAUGACCCGACUGGAGGUUGAAGAAGACCUCCAGCCGAGCCUAGGCCUGAAUAUGGGCUUUUGCCCAUAUUUUUUUUUUUUUAAUUUCAUAGGCUAAUUUCGUAGCCCAUUUCAUGGGCCGAUUUUAAAUUAAAGGGGAGAUGGGCUUCUCCAUUACAUGGGCCAUUUACAAUUUAAAAGGAGUAGGCCGCGUGAGGGUUUAGGACUCGUGGGUCUGGCCGUCUGAGUAGGGCUGCUUGCGUGUCCUCGGCCCACGGGAGUCCGAAAUAUUUAAGUAAUAUUAUAAUAAUUUUAUAAUAAUAAUAAAUUUAAAAAAUUAAUUAAAAAAAAUUGUGGCAAAAAUUGUUGUUUGAAAAAGUGCAAUAUGAUCAUUGGAAGCACAUGUUUUAAAGUGUUUCAUAUUAUUUGAUGAAUUUUGGGCAUAAAUUUUGGAGUUCCCUAUUAAUAAAAGAUUAAUAUAUACAAUUACUUGACCAAAGGGAGUUAUUGUGUAUAUUAAUUUGGAAAAUAACAUAAAGGUUAAUUCCCAUAUUUAAAAGAUGGGGAUGUAUAAUUGAAAAAUGUUUAUCUGCCCAAAGGGGAUAAAUGUUUUGAAAAUUAUAUGUAAUUCCCCUCUGUGUUGAUAUUAUGGAGAUGUAUGAUUUAAAGGAUUUGUUUGCCCAAAGGGGAUGGAUCCUUGACAAUUAUAUGUAAUUCUCCUUAUUGUUGCUUUAUAAAUUUCAUGCUGGGAAAAAUAAUUGUGCAUUAUACACUCUGCCCAAAAGGGAGUUUAUGAUCUACUGUGACAACAUUGCAGCUGUGUUUUAUUCCAAGUAUGACAAGAUUAGUAAUGCGUCCAAACACAUGGAGAUCAAAUAUUACACUGUUAAGGAUUUGGUCAAAAAAUGAGACGUUGUAAUUGAAAAUAUCAUAAUUGAGUCCAUGUUGGUUGAUCCUCUAACAAAAGGCUUACGACUCAUUUUGUUUAAAGAACAUGUAAAGAAUAUGGGUGUUUUAAAUUCUUUUAUUUCUUUUGUUAGUGGGAGUUAUACAAAUUGUAUUUCUGGAUAUUAUAGUUAUAUGCAGACUGAUAAUGCUUUUAUGAUGUUUAUUAAAGAAUUUAUUUUAAUAAUUUUUGUUGUUGAUUCUAUUGUUAUCAUUUCUCCUAUUGACUGAGAAAUGGAAGUAGAAAACAGUAUCUUUAAAAUUUUUUAGUUUAAAGAUGAUUCGAUAUCACUGAUUAUGAGAUCUCAUGUUGUAUUGUGACAUAAUCGUGCAAUUUCAUGUUGUUUAGAAAUUGUGUUAAUGUAGUUUCAUGUUGUUGAGAAAUUGCAUUGAGGACCGAUAAGAAAUAGUGUAUAUUUUGAUCAUAUGUUGGCACUAUUUCUUACUAUACUACUAGGCCCAUGAUCCAUGAAAAUAUAAUGCUUAUUAUAUGUGAUUAUGGAAGGUCUUGUGUAAUGAUAUUUUCUUAACACAUUGAUGUCCAUAGUCCUAUACUGAGGUUAUAUAGGAUUGGAUUGGUAUUGAGAUGCCAUUAUUGGAAUAUUAUUUUUAAAAAAAGUUGUGGCCACAUAAAAUAAAAUUUUAGUUAUUAACCCGAUAGUGUCGUUUUUAUUAUAAAAUAUUUUACAAAAUAAAAUAAGUUAAUUAAUGUAGCCCAAGUGGGAGAAUGUCGGAAAUUUCCUAUAAUAUGGGCUUACAUUAAUUAAUUGAUUUUCUAUUUUAAAUAAUCGAGUUAAUGGAUAUUCCAAUAUUUGUUGAAUCCUAAAGUGAUAUGAUUGAAUUGGGUAUUGACAUCUAUUGAUAACGGGCCUGGUUAAGCAGCAAAAUGUAGGCAAUUGUGUUUGACUGAAGCCCAUAAUGGGAAGGACCCAGUUGACACGCUAUUGAUUAGGGUUUGCUAGGUCCCCUCUCUAACCUAUAAAAGUGUUAGGUUAUACCUAUCAGUUGCUUUAAUCCCAUUGAAAGUUGCUAUAUCGAAAUAGGUCAUAGAGAGGAAAAUCUUGCAUUUCGAUAGAUCCCUAAUUAUCAAAGUGAUCUAUUUUUCUGCAAGUGAAGUAAUGGCUCAAACAGGUAUGCUUUAAUUCCGCUGUAUUUAUUGAUCGGUGUUUUACAAUCAUAUAUGGAUCCGUUAUUUCCUUGAUUGAUUAGUUGUAUAUAUGAAUAAAUAUUAUACAAAGACCGCAUGGCAGGACUUGAGACAUAGCAUCUAGGUUAGGACGCAUUCCAAGUAGUUGGUAUACCUUUAGUAUGCCUAGCACUACACAAUUUAUAUUAUGGGUUAUAUUCUUGUGGGUGUGACAAAUAAUCCAAAUAAUUAUUCGAGUUGCAAAAUUCUAGGGUCAUGUAAGAUUCAAAAUUGGAAAAUUUAGGUGUUGGUAGAAUUUUAAGGUUGCUGAUAAUUUUUUAAUCUUGUUAGUAAAAAAUUGUCACCACUAACUUACUUAUCAUAUCACUCGUUAGUAAGUUAUCAUGUUAUCAAAAUUUAAUGUCCAUACGAAUUAAUAAAUUAUCAACUUGUCUAACAAGUUGAUGUUGGCUUUUUAAUCAGGAUAUAUAUGCAUUUCUAUCGAUACUAAAAUUUCAAUUAUCAAUUUGAAUAGUGAUGAAUAGAGUAAUACAAUUAUCUAUAGUAAAAUAUUAGUUUUUUUUUUUUUGAUCGAAAGAUACGGACAUUUCAUUCAUAUAUGAGCAAAGGUACAUCCCUUAAACAAGGCAUCAAUACAGAGUAAGUCCAACAUAAGCUGUGGAGGAGAAGAAGCCCAGUUGUGUGGCAGGUUUCCUCGGCCAUGGGCCUUCGCGGCCCAGUCAGCUAGGGCAUUUGCUUCCCUUCGGCAGUGCAGCACGCUCAGAUUGGAGAACAGCGUCUUCAAGGCUACACACUCAGCCAACAAAGCUCGACAAUCCCAGGGUGGUUCACGGCAUCCGUUGAUGGCCUCAACUAGGAUGAGAUUAUCCGACUCAAUGAUGAGGUAGUCUUCCAUCUGUUCUUUCUGUAAUAGCUCCCGAAGAGUGUAUAACAGAGCUAGGGUCUCUGUUUCAAAGGCAGAUCGAGCCCUAACAGUGCUGACGAAUCCUCCAAACAACUUGCCAGAAGAGUCCCGAGCAAUACUAGCUAUCGCGCCUUCAUGGUGUCCACUGGGAAAGGCCCCGUCGAGAUUGAUCUUUAUUAUCCCCUGUUGCGGAGGUUCCCAAUUCCGAUUAGGGUUCAACCAUGUCUUCUGGGUAGGUUUUUCAAGCUGUGGAAUUCGACUGCCUACCUGAGCCAUAUUAAUUGAUGCUUGAACCAGAUGAUCCGGGUGUGGUCGCUGAUUCCGAAAAACAAAGAGGUUCCGGGCUUUCCAUAUAUGCCAAAGCAAAGCCGCGAUCUGCUCAAACACAGGUACGCCUCUCGUCUGAACCUUCUUCUGGUUGAUAUGCGUAUGAAGCCAUGUAUCGAUGCGAUGUAUGCUAUGGUGUGAAACUUUAAUUUGGACGCUGUGGUGAUUCCAUAUGUAUUUUGUCCAUGGACAUAGAAGGAAUAGAUGUUCCGGGGUUUCGGGUAUUGUGGAUGAGCAGAGUUUACAAAAAAGGGUCUGGGACAAUCUUCCUGCGAUAUAAAUUCUCUGCUGUAGGUAGAGCAUUCUGGCACACAGCCCAUAGAAAUACACAAACCUUUGGAGCUAUCUGAGUUUGCCAAAUUUGUCUCCAUAAUGUAGUAGGGGGCUGAUAGGAGGAUGAAGGCUGAGACUGAAACUUGUGAGAUGCUACGUGUUUAAUGAAAUGAUAACCGCUCUUAACAGAAUAACAACCAUCUGAAGUGUCUGUCCACACAAGUUUGUCCUCAGAGGAGGCUGGCGAGAGAGGAAUAGAUAGUAUUUCGUCAACAAUAUGGUCCUGAUAAAAUUGACGCAGUAGAACCUCAUUCCACUCAUGCUGAUUAGGCAGAAUAAGGUCCUGCACUCUAUUCGGUUCUGUCCUGUUGUAUGGUCCACCUAGAACUCCCACUUUCAGCCACUUGUCUUCUCUGAUUUUAAUCUGGGUACCAUUCCCUACUGACCAUUGGAGCUUGUCAGUGAUAGAAUCCCUACCUAGAAUAAGACUUUGCCAGCCCCAAGAAGACCUCGUCCCCUUCUUUGCAGACCAGAAACUCGUGUGAGGGAAGUAUAAUGCUUUGAAAACAGUGCUCCACAAAGAGGAAGGAUUAAGAAAAAGUCUCCAUGCUUGCUUACCCAAUAGAGCUUUGUUAAAGGAGAUUAAGUCACGAAAACCUAAACCUCCUUGAUCUUUACUCUUUUUAAGAGUUUCCCAGUUUUUCCAAUGAACGCCUGAUUUGUUGCGACUGUUUUUCCACCAGAACCUUGCUAUUUGUUGUUCCACCGCCUUACAUAUGGAUACAGGAAGCUUAAAAAUCGUCAUAGCAUACUGUGGUAGGGCCUGAAUCACCGAUUUCAAUAGAACCUCCUUCCCUCCCUUAGAGAUUAGGUUUUCCUUCCACCCCUCCAGCUUAGUAUUAACUCUACUUAAGAUCCAUGAAAACAUAUCACGUUUAGAAGAGCCCCAAUCAGAAGGAAUGCCUAAAUAUUUCCCUGUUCUAUCCAAGAUUGGAACUCUAAAAUCAUGAGCCAAAUUAAGUCGAAGGGAAUAGGGGCAGUUUUUACUCAUAAACAAGCCUGAUUUGUUUCUGUUUAUCUCUUGACCAGUAGCUAGGCAAUACUGAUUGAGAAUGUUGGAUAAGUUUUGGCUCUCCCGUAGUCGACCAUCAAUGAACAGGAUGGCGUCAUCAGCAAAGAAUAAAUGUGAUAACGUAGGACACCAUCGGUUGAGUUUAAUGCCUCGUAAAUUACCCAUAGCAACAGCAUUCUGGAUAAGAGUAGAGAGUAAAUUUGUGACGAGAAUGAAUAAAUAGGGGGAGAGAGGGUCACCUUGCCUUAAACCUCGGGAUGGGCGAAAAUAAUGGAGAGAUUCCCCAUUCAGUUUUACACUAAAAGAAGUUGUUGAAACACACUGCAGCAUCCAUUUCACCCAUUGAGCAUGAAAUCCAAGUCUAGACAGGUAAUCUUGUAAGAAAUCCCACUCCACCCUAUCGUAGGCUUUCUUCAUAUCCAGCUUGAGAAUUCCCUGAAAUUUUUUCUUUCUGUCUCUAGAUUUCAGCUGGUGUAUAACCUCUUGAACUAUAAGAAUAUUGUCCUGAAUUUGUCUACCGGAGACAAACGCACUUUGUUCUUUAGAAAUCAACACCGGCAGCCAGGUCUUUAGAUGGUUAGCCAAAACUUUUGAUAUGAUCUUGUAGAUAAAAUUGCAUAAACUGAUGGGGCGAAACUGUUCUAACCUCUCGGGAUUCUGGAUUUUCGGAAUAAGGACUAAAGUUCGAUUGAUUUCCGAUGGCAUGUUUGCUGUAGCAAAAAAUUGUUGAACAGUUGAGAAGACCUCUUCCUUUAUAAUGUCCCAAUGAUGACGGUAGAAUAAUCCAUUUAACCCAUCCGGUCCUGGCGCUCUAGUUGCAGUUAGUUGAAAAGUAGCUCGUUUGACUUCCUCCCUCGUUACUUCUGCGGUUAGAUGUGUAUUCAUUUCUGCUGUUACUAUUGGAAAGCAUUGCAUUAAAAUAGGGCCAUAAUCCCUUUGACCUGCAGAAGUGUACAAUUGCUGGAAAAAGUUGAGUGUCUCGUGCUUCACUCGAUGUGGAUCGCGAAUCCAUUCCCCGUUCUCAUUCUGUAAAAUGCUGAUUUUAUUCCUUUGGCGCCUUUGUAUUGUAGUAGCAUGGAAGAAUUUCGUAUUACGAUCACCCCAGCACAUCCAGUUAAUGCGAGAACGCAUGGCCCAAUAUUGUUCUUCUUGUGCCCAUUUUUGUUGAAUUUGACAUCGCAAGGAAGUGACCAGAUCUUUGUCAUAAUUACAUGCAGGCUCGUUAAUACAGUGCUGAAGUUGCUGUUGCAAAAGAUAUAAUUGUUGCUGAGCUGCGUUAAACUUGUUCCUGCUCCAGCUGGCCAGUGCCGUAGUGGUGUUCCUAAUCCGCUUCGAAAUUUGGAGCUGCUCGGUUGAAUGAGGAGACCAAGAUUUGUAUAUCACCUCUCGGCAUUCUGCAUCUUGAAGCCAAAAGGCUUCGAAGGUAAAGCACUUUUUCCUCUUGACUGGCAUUGCAUUAGUGGUUAAUAAAAUCGGGCUGUGGUCGGAACCUAUGGCUGGAAGGGCAAGAACCUCUGCCUCUGCAUAUUUUAAUCGCCAUUCGAUUGUACAUAAUGCACGAUCGAGUCUUUCCUUGACCAUUUCCUCGCCAUUUCUGUUAUUAAUCCAGGUGUAGGCACAUCCUUUUGUCUCUAGGUCCAGCAAUGCACAGUCAUAAAGAAAUUCCCGAAAGGCAUGCAUUCGGUAAGGUUGAACUGGUCUCUUGCCUACCUUCUCCCAUGGAUGUAAAAUAUCAUUAAAGUCCCCUAUGCAAACCCAAGGUAAAGUGUGCAAGGUACCGAGACGCCUUAAAUCUGCCCAAAACAGUUGUCGGUGUUGAAAGACCGACGGCGCAUGUAAACAGGUAAGACCCAUAGGAAAGUCACUACCAAUUUCAGUACAUAUAGUAUCUAUAUAGUGCGCAGUAAAGCUAUUAAUAUGAAGAGAGAUCUGAUUCGUCCAAAAAAUAACCAUUCCUCCAGCCAAACCUAUAGGAUUAACAACAAAAUUGUUAGAGAACUUAAUUUUGCCUUGGACACGCUGGAUAAGAAAUUCUUGAUUGCGAGUUUCCAUCAAAAACAGAACAUCGGGCCGUUCUCGGGCCACUAAGGCCCUAAGUGCUUGAACUGUCAAGGAAUUGCCCAAUCCUUGACAGUUCCAACUCAUGAUCUUCAUUUAUCCUUGGGUGGCUUAUGGGGGCAAGCCACCUCAGCCCAAUCUCUAAAGUUUUCAGCCAUUAAGAUGGGAGUUUCCAGUAGUUGACACUCUUCAAAAACUUCCGGAAGAACAGGACGAGAUCCAUAUGGAGAAUACCGCUUGACUUUCUUGACUGGAGAGGUCUUAGUCGGCAACAGAGGUUUUUUAACUUUUUUGGAGUUGGUAACUGACUGUAUAACUUCUGUUACAGCAUUGGAACAUGUCAGACCUGGACCUUCAGGGGGAAACGAAGUGGAUUCAAGAGCUGGCUGCCCAGUGACAGGGAUGGGAUAUGUUGGCUGCAGAGAUGUGGUGGGAAAAGGGAGAUGAUGAGCCUUCUGAGGGUCUGUUACUACUUGCUUAUUUGUGGAAACUGAUGGACCAGGAGGGAGCAAUAGCAAACCUUGUGGAGGAGUUUCAGGUACCGAUUCCUCUCCAUCUUCCAUAAAAGGUUUUGUUUCAUAGAAAACCUGCCAGAAAGGGCUAGGGUCCCUAGCUUCAGCCCUGAGCCAUUGGCCAUAAUACAUCGUGUCACGCUUAUCAAAAGUUGACUCUUCAUAAGGGAUAUCUUUGCAAUAGGAAGCAUAAUGACCAAGUACGCCACAAGAAUAACAGAAGGUCGGUAAUCUUUCAUAUCGAAAGUCUAACCAGAUUGAUUUUCCUUCCACUCUAAUAAGCUUUCCCGGUUUUAGAGGCUUCUGAAUAUCCAGAUCCACCCGAGCUCUUCCUAUUUUAAGACUGGAGCCAUCUUUCGCCUCAAUUUUAACAGCCAGAACAGGUCCAAGAUCACUGACUGCCUUACUUAUCAACUGCUCUGUACAUCGUUCUAACGGUAAGCCAACUAUUUGGACCCAGAAUGCAUAUGUGGUGAAAUCAUAGCAAUGCAAGGGAGUGUUAGGGAUCCACUGUUUGAGAAUAAUAAGAUUAUUUGAGAAAGACCAUGGCCCACUGUCUAAAAUACGCUGCUUUGUCCCUUCAGAGGGAAAUUUAAAGACAUAAAGACCUGCUUCUCUUUGUGAAAUAUCAACAUUAUCUACACGCCAUACCUUCUUCAUCGUACUCUGAAAAGCGGGGAAGUUUAUAGGAGAAUUUGCAAGAAUUUUCCCUACAAGUGUUAACUUACAUUCCUCAAUUUUCUCUGCAGGAGGGGGUUCAUUCCAGACCUCAAUAUGCUGAGGAGACCACAGUCGACCCAGGCGAGUACAUAAAGCAUUAAGUCGAGCUUCCUCUUCCUUGCUACCAGUAUCCAUAAAGAGUAGAAUUGGCAAAAGAUGGACCAGAGUGUAUAAAGGCUAAAAAAGCACAUGCAGAAUACCAGUCCGAUAGAAAUUGGGUUGUGGAUUAGACAUGCAGAUGAAUCGGUCGACCCAACCUCCAGAUUAGAGAAGAGAAGACCAAAUUCGACCGAACAGAGUAUGAAAAAGAGCGAUGGAAUGGGUGGAAACAGAAGUAAGAGGAAGAUAGAUGAAACAGAGAAGAAAGGGAGCCGGUACUUCAAAAUAGGGGGGUGCGACUCCGGAAACGAAAUCCAUAAAAGGAAGACGUGGGAGAUUCCGUUGAAAACGCCAUGCGAGAAAGAAAGCUUGAUGUGGGAAUUCUGAAAACUGGGAUUAGGGUUAAGAAGGGAAGAUGAACACAGAAACUACCAAGAGGUAGAGGGCGACUCUACAAAACGAGAGAGAAACCCGUCCAUUAGUUUAUUACGCGCAUGUUGCAUGGGGUGAUGGACUUUUUGGCCCUCAGCUCACUGUCAAGACAAAUAAUUUUGUGAAAAAUCCAAAUGAGGGUUUUCCAAAUUGGUGUUGUUUUUUGCCACAGUAGCUUCUGGCGGCUCUUACAGAUGCAGAUUCUCUGUGUCCCAUUUGCUUUAAAGCUCAUUCACUUGUGUGUUUUAUUUCAGUGCGGAAAAUGGAAGAGCACAUCUUUCUGAAUUGUCAAUGAAGAUGGAAUUUGUCAAAAUUAAAGUAAUCUUCUCGUGUAGGGUCUUGAGUAUUGAUAAUUAACUUUGUGAUUCAAGCAUUAAAGCAGUCAGCACGCAGUGGGUCAUUGCCUACCCUUGGACCUCGACGUCCAUCCAAUGUAUUAUUUGGCCACAUUCUUCGACAGAAAUCUACCUUUAUCUUCAACAAAAAUAAACUAGUUAGAGUAUGAUAAUUAAAGGAGAAUCAGACUUGAAUAUUUGGUUUUCAAUAUUUUCUUUCGGACGCACUUGAGUUUUUAUUUUUUUUAGAUCAGAAAUUCGCACUUGAAUUCACCUCCUCAUUUUUGGCCAUUUCUCUCCCUUUUUCGUUAAUUUUUUUCCCCUCAAUUCUUCUCCUUAAUUUUCUCCCCUUUUGCCUUUUUCUAACCCAUGACCAAGCAGUUAACUUUCAAGAAAUAUAUUUCUAAGUUACAUAUGUUGACUUCCUCAUACUUUUUAGACAAAAAGAACAAAAAAAAAAAAAAAAGCUUCGUCAUACUUCAAAAUUUUUAAAUAAAUGAAAAUAUUUCCCUUUGUCAAUAAUAAUUUAUAUUUAAAUAUUUUCUAUUUAUUUAUUUCUAUAAGCGUUACAAUUUGAAAAUCGUUUGUUUUUUGCGAAAUAAAUAGUACUUCGUCAAAAUUUAUAAUUAGUACUUAACAAAAGAUUCAAUAGGAUAAGAGUAGAACCGCGACUGAGAUGUGGAAAUGACAAAUAAUUUCACUCACCCAACGGUCGUUGUUGCUCUGUUUACAUCCGCCGGUUCUUGGAACCAUUUUUAACUGGAGAAGUUCCACGCACAGACGGAACACCCACUUCUCCCAUAGUCAACCGGGCCACCGCGUCGCAUCGUCAGGAGUCUGUCCGAGGAAAUUUCCCGAGCAUUCGUGAGUCUCCUUUCCAGCUACAAGUGUCGAACGAAGGUCCUCACGGCGGUUCGACCUCAGCGUCAUCAGCUCCGGUGACAGGAAACAACUUUAAUGUGUUCCUGAGCUUCAGAGGAAUUGACACCCGAGAUGGAAUCACAGAUGUUCUCUACGAGGGCCUCCGAAAUGCCGGGGUUCGCACCUUCAGAGACAAAGAAGAGCUUUCUGAGGGAGAGUCCCUCACAAAGCAGCUUCCUCAGGCAAUCAAGCUGUCGAAGAUCGGCAUUCCCAUCCUGUCCAACAGCUAUGCCUCGAGUAAAUGGUGCCUACGAGAGCUGGCUCAGAUGGUCGAGCAGCUCGAUGAUGGAAUGAUCAUCAUCCCCGUAUUCUUCGAGAUCCUGGUGGAUCAUGUGAAAAUGAAGGAUGGGAAGGGUCCUUACGCCGAUGACGUUAGGGCACACAGGAAGAAAGGAGUUGACGAGGAUAGGAUUGGGAAAUGGGAGAGUGCCCUUAAAAAAGUGACGUCUUUGAAAGGCGCAUGCUAAUAGUGGUAAGGUUUAAGGAUCUGUAGCUAGUGCUGCUUUGUUCUCUUUUCUUUUCUUCUCUUGUUUUCUCCGUAUUCAAAAGUAAGGGUCUGUUAGGGGUUGCGAUGGGCAUAGCCCAAGGUCAAUCUGAGUUUUUCUUAUGGGGGUUGGCUAAUGGUAACUCUGAAUUGAAUGGGAGACGCUCUUGCAUUGGUACCAAGCCUUUAACCAUUCCGUCCCAUUCACGUUUUCAUCAUUUUCAGAUCUUUGACCACAGUUUACGAGUGUCCCUGACUCCGUGUUCUUUCCUUCUUUCUGAAACAUUUUUCUGUUUUCUAGGCAAGGACAAUUUGCAAAUAUGAUGGUCUUAAAAGUUCUGAAGAGAUUGAGAAAGGCGAAGCUCAAUUUGUCUGACGAAUUAGUCGGGAUUGAGGACCGCCUGACUAAGCUGAGAAGAAUGUUGGAUACUGACUGCAGUGACGUGCAGAUGAUUGUCAUCUCCGGCAUUCCAGGCAUUGGUAAGACAACCCUCGCAAAGUGUCUCUACAAUGAUAUCUGCCACCUCUUUCGUCGUUGCAGUUUUCUUGGCAAUAUUGAAGAAACUAUUGCAAAGAAGGAUCUUGUAACUUUGCAAAAUCAGUUGGUUUCUGACAUCAUCCGAAGGGACUUGGCAAACUUAAACUCAGAGGAGGAAGGAGUUAGCUUCCUCAAAAAUAGAUUCAACACACUGAAAGUCCUCAUUCUUUUGGAUGACGUGCAUGAGCAGAGAUCGCUUGGAGCAUUGAUUGGAGAUCUCGAUUAGUUCGGUUUAGGGAGUAGGAUCAUUAUCACAACCAAACGCAUAGAAGUUCUCAGUUUACCUGCAGGAACCAAAACUUAUGAUGUCACACCGAUGGAGGAUGGUGAUGCUCUAAAACUUUUCUGUAGACGCACCUUUGCUAAGGAUUGUCCAGAAUAUGACUAUAUUGAUCUCUCUGAAAGAAUUGUGACCACUACUGGAAGACUUCCAUUAGCUCUUGAGCUCGUAGGUUCACAGUUGUCUCUGUUUCGGGAUAACAACGUUUUCUGCGAAGCUCUACUAAAAAAGUUAGAGGAGCUACCUCAUGAUGAUGUCCAGAAAAAGUUGAAUGUAACUUAUGAACGGUUAAGCCCUAGACAACAGCAUAUUUUUCUCGACAUAGCUUGUUUUCUUAAUGGAGUGGAUGAAAGAAUCGCAUCUUACAUGUGGGACAAGCUUGACUUGCAUCCUAAAGUCGAAAUCAAUAUGCUUGGUCUUAUGUCCAUCGUAAAGAUUGGAGAUGACAAUAGGAUGUGGAUGCACGAUCAGCUUAGGAAGCUUGGCAGGCAAAUUGCUCAAGACGAUCUUGAGAAACAGAGGAACCACAUUAGACUAUGGAAACCCCCUCAAGCUAGGAAAAUUAUUGAAGAAGAUGAGGUAAGAUCUGGCAUUGCCUUUUUAGUCUGCCUAUUUGAUAAUUAACUCUCCUUGUUUGAUUGCCUUUGGGAAGAGUGAAAGAUCAGAUGAUCCUCAGCUCACUUCUUUAUUGGGGUCCACAUUAGCUUCUGUCUAACAAUGGUGAUUGACCAACAGACCCAAAUGAAGGUCGAAGCUCUGUGUCUUGACAUGGAUACUCAGUCCUUCACUGAACAAAAACACAUGGAUGAUCGAUCACAGAAGUGUUGGACUCCUGACCAUUUUAGACAAGUACCAAAUCUCAGGUUCCUAAGUAUGAAUCACUCUGAUAUUCAGAACAAUUUUGAUGGCCUUCUUUCAAAGUUACUUUGGCUCCGAUGGCAUGGUUGUCCAAGAGCUUUUAAGGCAAUCAAUUUGCAUAUGAAGAAUUUGGCUGUUCUCGAUUUAUCAUGGAGCAAGGUAAUCGAAGGUUGGAAGGGUUGGAAUCAUAUAGAGGUAGCUCAAAUACUUGGCAUUUACCCUUUCCCUUGAAUACUUACUGCAAAAUUAACAGUUUUUUGUCUACUUGCAUUCUUUGCAGCUGUCAAGGAAGUUGAAGGUUUUAAUUCUUAGAGGUUGUGUUGACUUGAUACAAACUCCAAACUUCUCUAAUUUCGAGGCUUUGGAGAUACUGGUUUUAGAAUACUGCUCUCAUUUGGUUCAAAUUGACCCAUCGAUUGGUCAGUUGCAAUAUUUGCAAAUUUUAGAUCUGAAAUUCUGCACUGACCUCAGUAACUUGCCCAGUGAACUUGAUUCUCUGGAAGCUUUGAGAGAAUUCCAUCUCGAUGGAACUUCUAUAGAAGAUAUUCCGGUCUCCAAAGAUAUGAAGCUUCUUAAGACUCUCAGCGCCUGCAACUGUAAAUCAUUGUCACAAGUGUCUAGUGAAAUUGGUGAUGUAAAAUCUCUUGUAUUUCUUUCAAUAGAUGGAUCUGAACUUCCUGCUCUCCCAGAUUCAGUUGAAAGGCUAGAAAAGUUAAAACAACUGUCUAUGAGGGAUUGUCAGCUGAUGUGGAAACUUCCAGACACCAUUGGAAGAUUGACAUCAUUAGAGAAUCUGGAUCUCUCAAGUACAGGAAUAGAUGAAUUACCACAUGCCAUUGGUAAUAUGCAAAAAUUGAAGGUGCUCAAAAUGGAUGGAAGCUUCAUUAGAGAGUUCCCUUGCUCUAUUGGAAUGCUGGAAAAACUUGAGGAGAUUCAUGCGUCAUGAUGUAGGAGUUUGGAAAAAAUUCCAGAGGAGAUCAAAGGUUUGUCUCGUUUGAGAAAUUUGGUGUUGUCAGAUUCCAAUAUUCCCACCCUACCAGGGAGCAUCUCUAGUCUUUCCCACCUUCAAAACCUUGAUUUAUAUGGCUGUGACAGUCUUCAUGAGGUUCCUCUGCUUCCCACUAGUUUAGCCACUUUGCGUCUCACUUAUGACUCUAGUAAAUUGAAGUCUUUGGAUAUUUCAAAUCUGACCAAUCUCAAAGAGUUGUACCUUGCCAAUAAUUUGGAGGAGGAGGCAUCUCCCAGCACAGACGGAUAUUUGAUGGUGGAGCCGAUCAGCCUUUCGGGGAUUGGCAAAGUGACAAAAGUUGAGACCUUGAAAUUGUGUCUCCCAGGCUUCACUAAACUACCGGAAAUGGAUGCUCUCAAGCAGCUAAGGAAGCUUGAUCUUCAAUGUCCAGACCUACAACAUCUCCCACGACUACCCAAAAGUUUGAAAAAACUAACCCUCCGGGACUGCAAAUCCUUAAAGACAUU
rnacentral:lncRNA from 1 species